AUCAAUGAUCUCUUUUUCUCUUUCUUCUGGUCUUUUAAGGAUUUGAGCUCAUAAUGACAAAUAUUUAUUAUUUACUUAUUUGCUUCGUGUUAACAACAAUAUUACCUCGGUUUUAAAAUGGAAGCUAGUGCUGACAAUACUCUCUAUAAACUACCACUAGUAUAUUAUUAUGACACUACAGCUACUCUCAGCUGAUACAUAACAAUAAAAUUCAAGAAUGAGUAGCACAAAAGAUUUCAUAGAUUCAGAUUCUUACAUGUCAACUCCUUGAUUUGGAUGAGCUUGGAGUUAUUGCUCCUUUUGAGUGUGUUUAUAGGUAAGGUUCUCUUUUCUUUUCUUUUGAGAGCCAUGGAAUUGUAGCAACAGUGAGUUGCUGAUGACAAAUAUUGAGCUCAUAGCCAUUAACCCUCCUGUCACGAAAAAAAAAAAGUAACAGCUGUUAAUUCUCUUUCACAAUUUGCACCGCGGUUAAAGGUUGAUUAAGGUUGAAUUUUCUCCAAAAUCACCAACAGAUGAAUAAAGAAACCACAGUGGAAAACCCUCUAAGAGAUAUCUAUAUAUUGGCCAUAUUUUCCAGAGGAUUGUCAACAAGAUGCCAGAUAAAUGAUAGGCAACAACAAGCAUCUUAAAUCAUUUGGACCGAGAGGCAGAACAAGCAGUAUGGAUGUUAUUUACCUGAAAGAGAUGGUGUCAUUGCAAAAUCAAAAUUUGGAAGUAGCACUCCAGCUGCAAUGGGUAUCGCAACCACAUUAUAUGCAACCGCCCAAGACAAAUUUUGAUGAACUUUUGCCAUUGUUGCCUGUGCAAGAUCAAGAGUUUCCAGCACCUGCCAAAAAAAAUAGGAAGCAUUGACAAUACAAGAUAAGGCACAUCAUCAUUUUUUCCAUCUGAAUAAAUUCACAGGCAAAUUGCAUUGAACAAUUGUGUAAUUAUCCCAUAGAAAUUGCUGAUAUAUUCACAGAGGGAUGUACAGUCUGCUUUCAGUCACCUGAACCUAUUCUUCACGGUAAUCCUCAAAACUAUAGAGUGAAAAAAGUUAAUGUGCUGUAAGUUAUUCUUUGUGCUAUGAUAUUCAGAAACUUUUUACAAAUAAAAAAGAUCCACCUUGUUUUUUCUCGACUGGAAAUUUUGAAUCCAUCUUCUCAUGACCAUUCAAUGAAAAUGAUAAGCAGAAACAAGACACGAUAGGAUAAUGACUAAAUAGUUAUUCCUCUUAUGUGACACAAUACAUGUUACCACUUAUUAAAGAAAAAAUAACUUGGUACACCUUACACUAUUUUUAUGGUCAACGCUAAUAUGUGAAGAGAUCAUUAAUAUUUUUUGAAUAGACAUAAUUAAAUAAAAGCCUCACUGUGAUGACAUGGAACAAGUUAUUUAUUUUAGGAUGAAUGUGAUGACAUGGAACAUGUACCUGUGAUAGUUUAUUUCCAAGGAGUAUAACGGAUGCUGCAUUUGAAGCAGCAGUUUCCUGUCCUUCAACUUGCAAAGCAAUCCCCACAUCAGCAAGAGCAAGAGAAGGUGCAUCAUUAAUGCCAUCACCAACCUUCAAUAUGAAGUUCCAGUUAGAUAGCCAUGCAUAGUAUCUGACAUGGAGCAAAUCAGAUGUUCAUAUAGUACAAAACUAAUACUCUUUGAGAGAGAAAUAGAAUAAUGAAUAGCCACAAUGAGAAAAAGGAAAUAUGAUGACACUUGCUAGAGGGGCAAAAAGACAGCUCAAUUAUUGGAUGUUAUGUGCCAUUGAGAAGCAGUUUCCUUCAAAAGGGCCAUGUAAUUGUAGAAGUCAAUUUUUAUAUGUUAACUUUUACGAUUAUAUAAACCAAAGUUUUCUGGGAAAAAGGUAGCAGCCAAUUGCACAAAGUAUUACGGGUAAGAUAACUUCUACAUGUUUGAGGGACAAGUAGAAUAUUACUAGGUUUUCACCGGAUAAAUGCAUUUACCAUGACAACGCAAUUGCACAUGGUAUUGCAGGACAAGAUAACAUCUAUAUGUUUGAGGGACAAGUACAAUAUAUUUAGGUUUUCAUCAGAUAAAUGGAGUUACCAUGGCGACGCGGUGACCUGAAGCUUGAAGAUCUGAGAUGGCAGCAGAUUUCUGCUGGGGUGUUAAAGAUGCAUUGACAAAUUUGUCUUUUAUACCUACUGUCUUAGCUACAGUUGCAACUGCCUCUUCCCUGUCUCCCGAUAACAGUACUGUUUCAAUUCCCUUGUGCUGAAGCCUUCAAUUGGUAAGAAUUUUAAAAGAAAAUAUGAGACAACUAAACAAGAAUAAAAUUAAGAUGUUUUACGAGAGGAAGUUAGAAGAAAAGAAAAGGGAUGAGCAACAUGCAGGUGGUGGAACACAUUUUUGCAACGCUCUACAUAUUGAAUCCAUUCAAAUUGAAAACUGAUGGAAACAUCUGUAAAAUCUUUAUGAUCUAAGUUUCAAUCUAUAACAUGUUCAUAGAAAUCUGGAGUUCGUAAAACUGCGAGAGGCAAGUCAAUUUAAGGAUACAAGUAAUUUCUUCAAAAGGCUGAAGACUGGAUGAUUGCCUCAAAUUCCCACAUUAUGACAACUUCUUCAAAAUAAAAGAAUUAAGAAGCUAAUGACCUACCACAGAUUCAAGAUGGGUACCAUAUCUAUGCAGCAAGGAGAAAAGUGAGGAGUGGGGCCAUGGGGGAGACAAAUGAUAAUUAUAACUUCUAAGAUGCAUCUAAAAUUUACACUUGAAAUUGUCUUCAAGGUUACCUGCUUAUUGUAGACUCAGCAUCCUCGCAUAAUUUAUCAUAUAUUGCAAUGGCCCCAAUCACACCCUCUCCCUCCCGCCCAACAUAUACAACUGUUGUUGAAUGAUUAGAUGAUUGACUGUCCUGUAAUGAUUUAUGCAUCACAGAUUGCUCAAGAGUCAUCAAAUCAGAAAGGUCUGUUUUUUGCUGGAAACGUUCUUGAACCCAUUUCAGCUUUCCAAUUGCAACCAAGAGCCCAUUUACUUCUGCCAUGGUUCCAGAGCCAGGUUCAGCCAAUUGUCCACGUGUGACAGGGAUACUCAAAUUUAAUGAUUCUGCUUUGCUAAUAAUAGCAUGAGCAAUGGGGUGUGAUGUUGUUUUCUCCACUGCAGCAGCUAUUUGAAGAAUCUCUAAUUCCUCAUUCCCCAAUGACGUGAUAGCAGAGACAGCAGGUUUUCCUUCAGUCAGAGUUCCUGUCUGAGAGUUACAAGCAGAGAUCAGGUUUGUAAUUCAAACAAAAUCACUACGGAUCUUUUGAUUUUAACUGCUGAAGCAAACUUUACAACCAAGUACUCAAUUGAAGAACUACUAAACACCUUGUCCAGCAUGACAUGAUCCACACUUGCCAAGCGUUCCAGUACAUCUCCUCCUCUGAUAAGAAGUCCUUGUCUUGCUCCUAUUUAGUUUCAAAAGAUAAUUACAAGCUUAGCAAUUUGGCAGUCUAUAAGGUAACGCCAUAAAAACUGAACUACUACCUACUAAACUAAAGAGAAAAAAUAAAAAGGAAAGUAUGUAAUCCACAAAGUGUUUUUCUGAACACUUCGAAAAAAUAUUAUAUUUCUAUCUCCUUGUUGUAACCAGAGUAUUCUUGAUUUGUGCCUCCAACUGAAUUCUUCUUUUUCUUCUAGCUCCUCUAAUUCCACUAAAAUUGCAGCCCUUAUUGCCAUUUCUUUCUCAGUCAGGACACUGACAUCUUUCACUAAAUCCAGAUCUGCCAGUUAAUUGAGCAGGUUGCUUUUCUUGUUGGCUAACUCUCAAAAUUUCCCUUGGCUCUUUGCUCCAAACUUUAAGCUUAUUUUCAAGGAGCUUAAGUUUGAUGCUAGUUUGUUAUAUUGGCAUCCUUCUACUUCAAAUUCACUCCACCAGUUGUGCUAGCACCCACAAUGGCAUAUCUCCAUUAAAGUUUGGUGGGUUCCAAUGGAAAGUCAAGAAGAUAUUUAUCAUAGAAGAAGUAUCUUGGAAGGAUCUUCUGCCUUAUGUAUUUGAAAGCUUCUUCUCAUUCCACUAGAGUAUAAAAUUCUAUUCAAUCUAGCAGCACUAUUAUGAUUUGGUCCUCUGAACCAAGUAAUCUGCCUCCAUUUAAAUGGGGAUCAUGCAGUUCCAUCCCUUCAAUCAACUUGGAGAAAUCAGUCAUUGUGUUUGUAAUUCUAUUGCAACCCCUUCUCUCCACCAUAAGUCUAGUAGUAAAAUCACCACAUGUGACCCAAUGACCACCACGUAUCCCUCUCAUUUCUGCAAUUUGCUCCCAACAGUCAUUUUUUUCAUAUCUAGUGUGAAGAGUAGGGAUGUUCACGGUUUGGAUAAAAACCGAUCCAAACCGAAAAAUCAAACCAAAUCGAUAAAAUCAAACCGAUUUUAUUUGGGUUUGAUUUUAGAUUUUUGAAAACCGAUAGUAUUUGGUUUGGUUAUGAUUUUAUUCGAAAAAAACCGAAGAAAUAACCGAACCGCGAUGUUUUUUGUUUGUUUUAUGUUUUUAUCAAAAAAAACCGGAAAAAAUAACCGAACCGAACAGAACCAAUGAUUUAUAUACAUAUAUUUUAUUAAUAUACAUACUUAAUAUAUUAUUUUUAUAAAUAAUUUUAAAGAUCUUAUACAUAUUUUCAUUAAAAUUUCUUUAUAAUUUACUUAUUGAAAGCAAAAAUGCCCAAGAUGAAACAUUUAUCUUAUUGAUUUCAUGUAUAUGAGUGUCUAUGACAAUUCUUUGUGGGACUGAGAAUGUUAUUGUCUCUUCCUUCUAGGCCAAUAUAGAGAAUUUUAAAGUUUUAUUGAUAGUAAAUUUAGUGAUUGAAAGUUUAGUAAUUUAAGUCAUUCUAACUGUUUUUCGUUUUGAAUGGAUUGUUGUCACUUUUUUCACAUUUUAAUUGAAUUGUUUCUUUUAUUUUUGUGUAUGAUUAAUAACCGAAUAACCGAACCAAACCAAACCGAAUCCGAUAAUCACCAAACCGAUAAAUGUAUAUUAUAUUUGGUUUGGUUUGAUUUUGAUAAUUUUAAAACCGAUUAAGUUGGUUUGGUUUUGGUUUUGACCAAUAACCGAUCCAAACCAACCCGUGAACACCCCUAGUGAAGAGCAUACACUCCUGUAAGGUACCAGCUAAAAGAAUAUCAUACAGAGUCAAACCUGUAGGAAACAAAGUGGUUUCCUAUAUCCAUUUGUUCCCCAGCCCAAUUUCUACUAUCCCCCACAAUCAGGAUACCUCCACUACUGCCUUGACUCUCAAGAUAUCCACAUCUCAUCCAUCUGCAAGACCAUAACUGUUUAGCACAUGAUUCCACAUCUUUUCCAAUUUGGUUUCUUGGAAACAAUAACAUCUGCAUUCCACCUCUGCAUUAAACUCUUAACAAGCUUUCUUUUAGAAAUCUCGUUAAGCCCCCUUACAUUCCAUGAGGUCAAAUUGACUUUCAUUGAUAAGUCUAAGUUUGGACCAUCCGCCUUCUACUUCUUCAAAUCUGAAGCCAAAUUUUUCAGUUCCUUUUUUCCAAUUCCUCUGCUCUUGGGAGCCUUGAUCUUAUCCACAUGUCCUUAUCUCUUCAAAAAAGCCUUUCUUUCAUCUAAUUUUGAGAAGAGAGCAACAACUUCCUUCGCACAUCCUACAUGUAAUUUUUUUUUUAUGACAAGGGAAACCUGCAGCCGCUACCCUUUGGUGUGCACAAGGUAAAACCCCCGCUCCUAUGCAAUAGCUCGCAAACCACAUAGGAGAGGUAACCCGCACUAGGCAAGCUCGGUGCGACGAGCUCGACCCAGAAGGCAAACCCCUUGCUUUCGCUGGCAAGGGGUUUCGAACUUGAGACCUCCAACAUGGAAGUCCCAAGCCCAAACCACUGGGCCACCCCGAAGGGUCAUCCUACAUGUAAUUGAAUGGAAGAUCUUAUCUUAUUCCAAUAGGUGAACAGUGAAUAAAUACAAUACAUAAGGUGCUAACUAAGGAAAGAAAUAAAGAGUGAUUCCUAUAGAUCUGCAGUGAUCCCUAUAAAUCUGUUGCCUAUAUAUAGCUAUGUAUAUUACUAAGAUUAAGUCUAUAUACAUUCUAUAACACUGCCCCUCAAGCUGGAGCAUAUAUGUUGAUCAUGUCCAGCUUGUUACAAAGAUAAUCAACUCGAGUUUCAUUCAAUGCCUUUGUGAGCAAAUUAGCUACUUGCUCUCCUGUCUUCACGUAGCUUGUGGAAAUCAAGUUUUCCUGAAUCUUCUCACGAAUAAAAUGACAGUCAACCUCAAUGUGUUUAGUUCUUUUAUGAUACACCGAAUUUGAGGCAAUAUGCAGGGCAGCUUGAUUAUCACACCAGAGUUUUGCUGGUGUAUGAUGUUCCAACCCAAUUUCAGUUAGAAGAUGAUGUAUCCACAUAAUCACACAUGUAGACUAUGACAUAGCUCUGUACUCAGAUUCUGCACUGGAUCGAGAUACAACACUUUGCUUCUUACUCCUCCAUGAAACUAGGUUCCCUCCAACAAAGACACAAUAGCCUGUAGUCGAUCUCCUGUCAAUUUUGGAUCCAGCAUAGUCAGCAUCUGCAAAACACUCAACACGAGUAUGACCGUGAUUGCUAUAUAAUAUCCCAAGUCCAGGGGCUCCUUUCAAGUAACAUAAAAUCUGUUCCAAAGCUGCCCAGUAUUUGACUGUAGGCGAGGACAUAAACAGGCUAACAACACUUACUGCAAAAGCAUGUAUGGACGAGUCACAACAAGGUAGUUUAACUUCCCAACUAACCUCCUGUAUCUCUCAGGAUCAUCAAAGGGGUCGCCAUCAUCUUUCAUAAGCUGCACAUUGGGAGCCAUUGGAGUACUGCAAGGUUUAGCUGCCAACUUACCAGUGUCUGCAAGAAGAUCAAAAAUAUACUUUCUCUGAGACAAAAGAAUUCCCUUGUUUCUAUUCACCUCUAUACCCAGCAAGUAUUUUAACUGACCCAAGUCUUUCGUAUGAAACCUAGUAUGCAUGAAGGAUUUGAGGGAAGAGAUCCCCGCAUAAUCACUUCCUGUGAUGACAAUGUCAUCAACAUACACAACCAGCAGGAUAGUGCCAACUGUUGAUUGUCGGUAGAAGACUGAGUGAUCACAUUUGCUCAUUUUCAUCCCAAACUCCAGGACUACCUCACUGAACUUCCCAAACCAAGCUCGGGGACUCUGUUUCAAGCCAUACAAAAACUUCUUCAAAUAACAGACUCUCCCAUACUCCCCCUGAGCAACAAAACCAGGUGGUUGCUCCAUAUAUACUUCCUCUUGAAGAUCACCAUGAAGGAAUGCAUUUUUUAUAUCCAACUGAUGUAAAGGCCAAUUCACAGAAGCAGCUAAAGGAAUGAACAAGCGGACGGAAGUAAGUUUGGCAACUGGAGAGAAAGUGUCUGAAUAAUCCACUCCAUAAGUUUGAGCAUACCAUUUAGCCACAAGCCUGGCCUUAAGUCCUGCCACAGAACCAUCUGGAUUAACUUUAACUGUGAACACCCACUUACAUCCCACUAUUUCUUCGUGCUAGGUAAAUCCACCAAAUCCCAAGUGUGAUUUUCCUCCAAGGCAUGUAUUUCCUCAAGCAUCGCAUCAUACCAUCCAGGAUGGUUCAAAGCUUCCUUCACUGUUUUGGAUAUAGAGAUGGAGUCUAAAGAAGCAACCAAGGAUCUUGACAUAGAGGAUAAGCGGUCAUAGGAAACAAAAUUAACAAUGCGAUAUGUGGAUUGACAAGUCCUUUUACCUUUGCGAAGAGCAAUAAGGAGAUCCAAAUUCUCUGAAGGAUCGGGUGAAGAAAGAUUUGAUAACAGAGGAACCGGUGCAAAACAUUUAUCAUUGAUCUCUCGUCUCCUCGAAUAAACUUGAACAAUUGGCGGUCUUGCUGGAGCAGAAGUUGUAGGCCCAAUAGUCAAUUGGUGUUCAACAGGGAAACUAGGAGAUUGAAGAACAUUAUUUGAUUGUUCUGUCACAACCCGAGUAACCUGAUAGACUAACCACUCAUCUUCCUCCUCUUGAGUUGUAGAAAUGGGAGGUGCAUAGAAGAAUGGGUAGUCGCUAAAAAUACCACAUCAUUUGACACCAAGUAUUUACCAAGCUCAGUAGAAUAACAUCGAUACCCCUUCUGAAGGCGUGAAUAACCCAAGAAAACACACUUUAAUGCCUUAGGAUCCAACUUGGUAACAGAUGGCCGAACAUCUCGAACAUAACACGUGUUUCCAAAUACCUUAGGCUCCACCGAAAAUUGUGACUUGUUUGGAAAAAGAACAGUGUAAAGCUUAUUACCAACAAGAACAGUCGAUGGCAUGCGGUUAAUCAAAAAACAAGUUGUAGAGACUGCAUCAGACCAAAAUUGUUUAGGAACCUUCAUUUGGAACAAAAGUGCUCGAGCUGUCUCAAGUAGAUACCUAUUCUUUCUCUCAGCAACUCCAUUUUGAGAGGGUGUAUCAACACAUGAAGUUUGAUGGAGAAUACCAUGUUGUCUCAUGUAGGACUGAAACGAUUCUGACAUAUAUUCUUUAGCAUUAUCACUCCUUAGAAUACGCACUGAAGUAUUGAGCUGAGUUUUGACUUCAGUACAAAAGUGAGUAAACACUUCAGAACGGCUUUUCAUAAAGUAAAUCCAAGUCAUUCAAGAGAAAUCAUCCACAAAUGUGACAAAAUACUUAUGUCCAGAUUUGGAAACAACAGGACAUGGUCCCAAACAUCAGAAUGAACUAACUCAAAAAUCGAAUCCACCCGCUUAUUAACCCUUGGAUUUGUUGAGCUACGAUGGUGUUUAGCAAAUUGACAUGACUUACAAUCUAGUGAAGGAAUAUUCUGAAACUGAGGACAGAGCUUCUUCAACAUAGGCAAAGAAGGAUGUCCUAAUCGACAAUGUGCCUCAAAUGGAGACCUGGCACAAGAGUAGGCAGCAAAUUGAGGCUCCCAAUAUUCAUCAAGAAAGUAGAGACUAUCAGAUACAUGUCCUUUACCAAUAACUUUAUUUGUCUUCAGAUCACGAAACAAACAAUGAUCGGGAAAGAAUGAGAUAUUACAGCUUAGGUCUCCGGUAAGCUUACUAACAGACAUCAAAUUAAAGGCAAACUUUGGUAGACCUAAUACAGAUGACAAGGUAAUGGAAGAAGUUGGUUUUACAGUCCCAGAUCCUAUAAUAUUACAGAUUGAACCAUCGGCAACCGUCACAGGAGAGAGUGCUACGUGUGAUCGAAAGCUAGAAUAUAUGUUAGGACUACCUGUCAUGUGAUCUGUGGCACCUGAAUCGAUCACCCAUCUUCGAAGAGGAUAUAAGACAUGCUUUUCAUGACUCAACAAGGGUAGUAACUGAAAUAGAUUCUUUUUGUAAUUUUUGAUAUUGUGAGAAUUUUGCAAACUCUUCCGCCGAAACCAAAAUUCUUUUAUCCGAAGACAUAGGAGCCACAAUUUCAGUCAUUCUCUCCAAAUAUUUUAGCAGCACAAGAACUCAUCAACAAAAAAUAUAACCAGAAGCAUGUACGUGACCCCACAAACACAGAUGAACAAAGUCUAAAAAUGAUUUUAUCAACUAAGAAACCAAUUGUCCACCCAAAAUAAAGGAACUGAGUACUUUACCAGUAGACAAGAGCACGUAGUGAACAAUCAAAUACCCAAGCAAGUAGUUCAGAGAAAGAAAUCCUGAACCGCAACUUAUGAUCAAACAACACCAAUUAUCUGAACUGAAGAAGACGCUAGCAGCCACAAAACCACAAAUCACAAACAAGAUUCAGUGUCGCAUAUAGAAACGAACCUGGAAGUGACGAACAAACUUUCCAGAUUGUAUUUUAACACCAGAACAAACCUGUGAAGUGACGAACAGACUUUCCAGAUCGUAUUUUAACACCAGAACAGACCUGACAUUCGCCAGAAAUACGUUUCCAGAUUGUAUUUUAACACCAGAACAGACAUGAGAAUCGCCAGAAAUACGUGCCGAUGCCGGAAAUUUAAAACCCAAUCAAUUCAGCCAGACACGCACCUUCACGUGCCGGUGCGUGAUGAACGAAAGAACUGUAUGAGCGGUGUGUGACAACCACUCGCUUCACAACCAGAUGCCGAUGAAGACUGGUUUGGCCGGAAAAUAUACCACGCCUCCUUCUGUGGUGGUGUGGUGGUGAUAGUAGACUGACCACUUUAAAUCAGUGGAAUAGAAAUCCAAACUUAUUCCGUAACACAGCCAAAACAAAACGAGCCUAUAAGCUUUGAUACCAUGCAAUUGAAUGGAAGAUCUUAUCUUAUUCCAGUAGGUGAACAGUGAAUAAGAACAAUACAUAAGGUGCUAACUAAGGAAAGAAAUAAAGAGUGAUUCCUAUAGAUCUGCAGUGAUCCCUAUAAAUCUGCUGCCUAUAUAUAGCUAUGUACAUUACUAAGAUUAAGUCUAUAUACAUUCUAUAACACUACAAAUGCAACUCACAUGCCAUGACAUUUAGGUAGCAAUAAAAGCUUCUCAUUAGCGUUAAAUGGGAAGUUUAAAUUAAAUUGUGUCCAAAUUUAGAAAGGAGAGAUUCUUUCUUGAACGGACUAAAAAGGAAAUAGGGUCACAUAAACUUGUGCGGAGGAAGUAUAUAUCUAGGGCUAAAGCUAGAAAUUUUUUCUGGAAUUGCUUGUAUUAUUGGCAUUUCUGAUAGCCAAGGAGCCCACAUUUCUGCUUGUUGGUUGGAACAUCUAAAUCUCCUCUAGCAGUUUAGUCUAUAAAGCAAGAGAUACAUCAAGGAGAAUACUCUUGUGAGUAAGAAUGUGAAAAGAGGUAUGGGUAUGUCCUCAAUUGCUGCAUAGCAGUGAGAAUGGAGGAAAUUCUUUGAACUACAGCAAAAGCAUUUAAAUCUGAUUAUGUACCUAGUGAGGUUCCAACAAGAAUUGCAGUUGGUGUGGCAAGGCCUAAAGCACAAGGGCAGGAGACAACCUAUCAAAAAUCAAAGACAACAAUAAGGUUAAUCAAAAUCAAAUCACACCAUUUAAGGACAUCUAUAAGUGGAGGAUCAUAUGCCGGAACUUUUAAGUCCCAGUCAAGCUAGGCAUCAGAAUAAGAACAGACUAGGUGAAAUGACCACAGUAAGUUUGACCGACUGGUAUCACAGUUGUUUUUUUGGAGAUAAGGGUAACUUUGUAUUCACAAAAUUUUUUGGAAACUACAUCGCACAGGAUGGUGGGCACACCCUCAAAAAGACAUACAGAAUUACAAGUUUCCUCUAAAAUCGACCAUCUCUAUGCUUUCCCCUACCAACUCUUGCUUACACCAAAAAAAUAAAAGACUUGAGCAUUUCAUUUUUAUCUUCUAAAAACAAUCAUUUUGUCCUUCAAAACACCUAGCAUUCCUUUCUUUCCAUAAAGUCCACCAUAUACAGGCAGUCUUCCACCAAUUUUCACUUCUCCCUCUAUUGCCAAUUCUUAUCCAGCUAUUAAGCAGCUUCAUGGUUGUCUUUGGCAUCACCCAGCUAACCCCUAGUAUACACAAACAUAUUCCACAAUUUUGAAGCUGCUUUACAGUGAAUGAACAAAUGAUUAUUUACUUCUGCUUUCUGCUCACACAUAAAGCAUCUUGAGCAAAACUGCAUCCCCUUUUUUGUAAUGCCUCAUGGGUAAGGCAAGCUUUUCUUAUGACCAACCAGACAAAACAUGCUACUUUUAAUGGGCUUCUCUUCUUCCACACUAGCUUCCAAGGCCACUUUUUAGUCACUGACUGAUUAACAUUUAUCCUCCAGUAGCAAGAUUUAACUGUGAACAUUCCUUUGCUAUGUAGCUUCCAAAUUGGUUUUAUCCUUUCUUUGAGAUAUGGCUAGUGGGGUGUUAAGCACCUCUAGUAGCCUGGCCACAUCCUCAAUUUCCCAGUCGUUCAAAGCCCUCCUGACCACUAAGUUCCACCCUUGUUGGCUCCUUACUUGAGCAACAGUAGCAGAUCUUUGUAAGCUCAAGGUGUAGAGAUUUGGGAAUAGGUUCCUCAGGCUAUCAUCCCCUUUCCAGAUUUCAUUCUGGAAAUCUGUUUUCAGACCAUUGCCCACACUAAUAUAAAUAUUGUUAUUGAACUCUGGCCACAUCCUUCUGAUGGUCUUUCACACGAAACAUCCAAACGACCCCAUCACCUCCUCAGUAGUCCAUUGGCUAAAAAAGUCUUAUGUCAAAUAGAAAUCACCUACCGAGAAAUAUUUUGCCUCCAAAGGAGAGCAGCUUUAACUCCCUAAUAAAGAAGCAUCCCUACAAUAUCUGUUUUCCCUCCUCAAGGUUCUAAAUAUCUAAAUGCUAGAAAAUGUACCAAGCAACAAAUAUUACUUGGAAGGAAAAACAUCUCUAAGAAAAAGUGUACUGACCAUGUUAACAAUCUUGGAAAUUGUUGAAUUGGAACCAGUGGAAGAGGCCUCAAUCCUCAAAGGACUGUCCUGAAACAUAACAACGACUUCAAAAUAAAAAAAUAUAAUCAGAAAUGCAAAUCCAGUCUUCAAGGAAAAUCCAGUUCUACCAUCAUAAGGUGUUCAUCAACUAACAUUUGGAUCAUCAUAAGAGGCACAAAUCUAAGAACUCUGAAAACAAUUGGCGCAAAUCUAAUGCACCAUCAUUCAUAUAACCUUAACAAGGAUCAGUUAACAUUUUUGAAUCUAAUGUCUCUUCAAAUGUAUACAAUUAAGUCAUUCUAAAAGGUCAUGAAACCUCAUUUUGUUACAGAUGACACAGUGGAGCAGUAAACUAGUUUACGUCAGAAAGCUGCAAAUAGCAUAUCUAUACACGUAAUAUCUUGGCACCAUGUCCGAACAGAGCAGAUGGGAUGUAGAGGAUUCAUAUAUCUGAAACCAACUAGUUUGGGUAUCAUAUUUGAUUGAUUGAUUGAAUCUUGAAACCACCAUACCCAGUUAAUUGUACCAGCUGAGACAGAAACACCCUUCUCUUUAAACACCGGAAGAGACUCUCCAGUAAGCAUAGACUCAUCCACAACACUUCGACCUGCAACGACUCUUCCCUGCAGAGGCAAUUUGAUUUAUCAUUUGAGAAUGUAAGAUGUUGUAUGUCUAGUCAACAAACAGAAGAAAACAAGUAUUUUAAACAGAACUCAACAUCCUUGAACAGGCAUUUGUAUUCCUUACGAGGACUGAAAAAGGUGCCAUAAAUGCUUUUAAGCUAACAAUUGGUCAGUUGCUUUUAAACAGGACAAAUUUCUCAUUUGUCAAAAAUUACCUAUUCAAUCCUAGGGAAAACUUCUUUAAAAAAAAUCAUUCCUAUGUAACACAUAUACCAUGUGUUUUUUAAGACGAGGACCAAAAUGUGCUAGAAAUCACUGUUAAGAUGUACUGAGGUAAUAACUUUUUCCUUGAGUAGUGACUCCAUAUUAUGUUUGUAGUAGUUGAUGGCUUUAUUUUACAGUAUUAUCCUAAAUGCUUGGAUAAAUGAAAUCCAAGGAAAUUCGAUAUGUAUUCUGUUCUGCUUUAAUGAAGAUAUUCAUACAUUCAUCCUUGGGAUAAAGUCCUGAAAGAAAAGUACUCAUGCAAAAUUUGACUUACAUCUACGGGUAUAGUUUCUCCAGGAAAAACGAGCAAAGAAUCACCAACUCGAAUAUCAUCGGUUGGAACUACAAUACAAAUUGCAUCAGAACCGACAAUGUCAGUCGAGGAAUCACUGCCGGAUGAAGUAAUUACAAGUCUAGACUGAGUGGAUAUAAGUGACUGCCAAAAGAAUCACACCAAUAUUUCGUAAGAAAAAGGAGUAACAAAGUAUAGAAGUUUUUCUAAUCAUGAAUACAAAGGGAAAAAGUAAGAUACAAUACAAGCUUCAAUUUAUUUUAGUUCUUCAGCACUUCAUUAGUGGACUCAGGAAUCUAGUCUGAAUAGUGAAAUGUAUUUUAUUUCUUACGCAGAUCAAAAAUAAAGAGUAGCCUUGUGUAGCUUUAUUUAUUGUGUUUAAUAAAGUAAGAAAACUGUAGCCCGAAAAUAACCUGAGAUUAUUCUUUUGUUAAGUGCAACUAUAAGUCUUAAAUGUUCGGGAUACUAAACAAAUGUUUUUCCUCCAUAGGUGUGAAUAAAUAUAUACUGGCCACCAGAAAUAAGAGAUCAGAGCUUUUAUGCAACUUCUAAAACUAGAUCAUCCGUAACCCACUUCAUACACACCUUUUACAAGCUCUAAAAUAUAACUGCUUUUUUUUUCAAGUAAAAGGUCAAACUCCAGAAGUAUAACUGAUAAUAACCAAUAGUAGCUUUCUGGAAAAGGGAACUAUUUAAUGCAUCAAUCGAACAAGAGAAAAUUUGAUAGUAGGUGUAGUUCAUUUCCAUUUAAAAUAUGCUAACUAGUGUGUGCAAGAACUCAAAAUCUGUGGACUUAUUGGAAAAACAAAACAUUUAUAAUAGUUGGAUUUCAUGAUAUCAAGGACAACAUAUUGGUCAAUAACAAGUUUAAAUAGGUGGUUUAGCAUGGAAAUCUCAUGAAUGGUUAUAACCUACUCAUUGAUGCUACUGUAUCAGAGAGCUCAAAUAUCUAAAAGACUAAAACAACCAGUAUUCCAGUGGUUAAUAGAGUUUCCAACCUUUGGAGAUGGUCAAAUAUUGAACAGUCUCAUAGCCCAUAUUUUUGAUCCAUUUUCUUAAAUCACAUGCAAUGAAAACAACUUACUAAUAGCUCAUUCAUGUCACUAGAUGCCUUCAGCCUUGCCCUUUCCUCCAAGGAACGCCCUAGUAAUACAAACCCAAGAAGCAUGACCUGCGUGAUAAAAUCAAUAUUUUUGAAUGAACAAAUAGCAGUUUAGAGAUAGUGAAAUACUGAAUAGAUUUUGGUCGAGACAGACCAUAAUAGAAGUACAAUUAGAAGGUAUUGCAGAGCAUAAAUGAUAUCUUAAUGAAUUGGAAAAAUAGUACAAAUGAGAACUACAUAGUGAAUGUUAAUGAUUGAUAGAUGGAGAAUGGUUAGAGAUUUAUGGAAUUUCACAAAAUUCAGCCAUUGCAAAGGGAGAAUGGACUCAGUGGUUAGUGAUACAUUUCAAAAUAACUUCAGGCAGGUCAAGAAAAACAUGACUAAUGAUUUAGAGUAGAGGACCUGGACCAUGUGAAACCCUGAUGAUAUUAUUUGAAUUUUGCAAGGACUUCAGAUGAAAAUAUUUUGAAGCUUGAGAUUUUUAAAUGUUAAAAAAGGGCUGAGCCCAAUAAGGCUCAAGUAUCUGUGGCACCACCUCGACAACCUAUUACAUUGAACUUUGUGAAUCGAAAGACCCUCUCAGCAUUUAAAAUUCAUAAGCAAAUAUAAAAAGAGAAACUACUACUUAAAGACUACAAUAUGCUGACUGUCCUAAACAGCAGAAAACAGGAGUACUUAUGAGCAAGCAAAUAAAAACUAAAGGGACAGAAUAAAUGGAAAGAAAAUCUAAGCACUUCGAGAGAAGUAGAGAGGAAAGUAAGAAAAGACAAACCGGCUCAUCAAAAAAUGAUGCUUCCCAUUGAAGCUCAGGGUUAAGCAGGGAGACCUAAGAAAGAGAAGAAGUUGUCAGCAUAUCAGUCUUAACUCAAGAGAGUAAUGGGUUUCUAAUAUAUUAUGAAAACAGACACUGAAAUCAUAACAAGAGCUACUAGCAAGAUAAAGGGCACAACUUUAAUUGAUUCUUACAGAACUAAUUGCAAAAAAAGCAAUCGAUCCAAAGCCAACAAGAGAGUUUGUAUUUGGUGAUCCCUUUGUGAAUGCCCGAAGACCAUCAAAGAGCAGGUCUGUAACAUAAUUUAUUUCGGUUAGUAAUGAACUAAGAUGAUAAGCUACAUAGUUCCUAUCUACAUAACUGCCAAAAAAAUGACGCUAGUAUUGGGGGGAAAAAACAGCAUGGUGCACUAAGCUCCCACUAAUGCAUGAAGUCCAUGGAAAGGGCCCAUCCACAUUUUCAUUUGAAUUCUUGACAUGACACUAUUAACUUGCAAACUGAAAAGGGAUUCUCUAUACUACUCAUAAUAACAACUUUAAUCGACUCUCUUCCAAGACUUAACCGCAAAGAUGACGGUCAAAAUUGGACAUCAAAUUCAAUCACACGAUCAUACCCAUUUGAUUUUUUAGUUAACUACCACAUUUAACUAGAAAAAGUAACAAAGGAACAUAAACAAAUAAGAAAACAGACAAAAGAUAAAUGGAGUAGAAAGUAACAGUCAAUUAAGAAAGAAACAGAAUAGAAUUAACAAGUAGUGAUUAACCUCGUCCAGGUCCUAAUAAAGCCCCAACUGCCAAUCCAGCUUUGACAUAAGAAUUAUGCAGUAUAUCCAACAUUGAACCUGCACCAAUGUAGAUCAACUAGUCUGAGUUAUCCAGAACAGAAAAUUUCAUCAAACACUAGCUAUUUAGCUUUUGGUACAGAUAUUUCCAAGCUGAAUUGGAUAUAAUUUCAAAGAAAAGCAAUGUAAGCGGAUGCUUCUUUCCAAGCAGAAUUUGAUAUAAUAUAAUAUUGAUCAUUAUGGAACCGGGUAAGAGUAUUUGCCUUUUUUCUUUUCAACAUUUUUUACAAACUGUUAAAUCAAGUGUUCAAAUCGUUGUUGUUCUGAAGUAGCAAGCAUGUAUAUUCACUCAAGAAAUGAAUUGUGCAUCUUUUGCAAGUUUACCGUGAAUAUGAAUGCCAAGAGAGUGCAAAAUAUGAGUAGCGUGAGUUCCACAGCAUAAAGCAACCAGAGUCCAAGCGAAAGCCACUGGGUUACGACUCUCAACAAGCAACGCCUCCUUUUUCUUCACCAUGUCCUUCCACUUCUUCACCUUGGCAUCGAUUCCUAACCCAGAUUACCUCUUCUUCAUCGGAAAACCACAUUCCGUCAACCUCUUAGCCAACUCUUGAGCCGCCAAACCAGUCUCAGCUGCAUCCGCUUUCAACUUAACCGCAGCUGUCUCGGUCAACAUAUUGGCCACAGCCAAGUCAACACUGUCGUCCGCUGAUAAAAUCGCCUUGACACGUGAGACACACGCGCCGCACAUCAUCCCGCUCACAUCUAGUAGCGCCGUCGUCUCAUCAUUUUUCAACUGUACCUGCUGCUCAGUUCCACUCGCCGGAACUUUGAACUCCACAUCCUUGGCGAAUGCGGCAUUGCACCGCAGCAAUAGCUGACUACUACGACGUCAUUGAUGAAUGACAGUUUAUAUAUAUAUAUAUAUAUAGUACAUGUUUUUUAGCCUUUUCAUUUCUUGUUAGUUUAGUCAUUUCACACUUGGUAAUUUACCUCUAAUUUUGGACCCAUGGAGGAACUUCUAAUGGUUUGACCAAUAUCUUAAAAAAUAUUUGCCUGAUUUGACAGAUUACCUCCAUGACAUUUUGACUAGUAUAAGCUUCACAAAAGGAUGCUAUGCACACAGUUACCAAAACUGUACAGGAGUCAGUAUUAUCUAGUGUUACCAUCAUUAUACAAAAAUGAUUAUUUCUUGGUUUUAUUCUAUAGUUUGGGAUACAAUCUUGAUCAAGUUACAAUGUUGAUUUCACUAUUUCUGGUAGAGAAAUAGCUUCAUCAAAUGUAACUUGAUCUCUUAACCUUUCCCCAUAUUGGCUAGUUUAUAUCUCCUCUCCCACUCAGUAUGUGAGGACAAAUACAAAAUAACACUACUUGAGAGGUGAACAAUCUGAUCAAUGGCAUGUUGGAUCUGUCAAGGUGCUUUCUUUUUGUUGUUAAUCAUGUUAAUAAUCAACUGGGAAUCAGAUUCCACCAUCACAUAAAAUGAACUUCUGCAAAUACACAGUUUCACACUCUGUAAAAGAACUCUGCCCUCGGCCAUAUUAUUCAGCACAGGCCAGGACAGAGCAGCCAAGGUUGGCCCUAAUGAUACAACAACCUCCUCCAGAGCUUCCCAAUUCCCUUUACAACAGCCUGAUAUCAAUGUUUAGUUUUAGCCAUUCAAACUCAUGCUUAUUCCAUCUAACCGGUCCACAACUGAUUAUUUGUUUUGCCUUUUCCACUGCAUUACACAUCAAAUUUCAGGAUAGAGGCAAUUGGACUCUGGGAAAUUGGCUAUAAAAAUUUUGGUCAUGUUUUCACAGACCUGCUGAAUAAUAUAACUCUGCCAGACAUGUGAACAUUAUCAUACCUAGCAACCACAUCUAUUUUUCCUUAUCUCCCAGCAUAUAACAGUUGGGAGGCAUUGAAAUAGCACUGCAUGGAUACCAUUAUUAGCUUUAGAUAGUCACUAAACAUGAGUAAUUGUUUCAUGUUACCACCAUUUCUAAUUACUAUACCACAACUUUGACCAAAGGACCAAAUAUGUUUUGCAAUCUGUCUUGUACGAAAAAAAGGUGCAUGAUAAUCUCUUCAUUAUGAGUAGUACAGCAGGAACAUUUAGAUCGUAGCAUCAUAGCAAAUAUUUAUAUCACUUCAAACCAGUGAUGGAUCCAGGUUUUGAAGUUUAUGGAUUCCUACAAUGAUUUCAAGUUAACAUAAAAUAAUAACUGGGUUCACAAUAGAAAUACAUGGUAUGAACAAAAGAUAUUGGUCCCCUGAGCGCAUACCUUAGGGCUAGAUCCGCUCCUGCUUCAAACCUAAGAGUGCUGGAUUCAACAGAAAUGAUUGCUAUAGUCUUUUAUGCUCAGUCCUUCUCUUUCCUAUUUAAUGUAAGAGUUGAUUGUCUCUAUCAAAAUAGGAUUUCAAGUACAAGCAGGAAUAGCCUAGAUUAUGUUCCAACAUUAGAAUGGUUGAUACUACUGACAUUAAGACUUGAAAACUGUGCAAUAGUCUAUAAUUUGACAUAUUAUUGGGCAUUCGAUUUUUAACACUUAAAAGAGGAGACAAAUCUCACUAAAGAACAUAUCCAGCAAAUAAGAUACAACUGUGUAAAGGUAAUGGGGUACAUAUCUCAAAGUUCUAGACCAUCAGGCAGAAAUAGACUCCAUCCUGAACAUGAAAGAAUGCUGGUUUGUCAAUGGUCAAUCAGAAAACAUCAUAUCUCUGGGUUGUUCUGAAAGGACAAAUGAUCAUAAUAAGCGAGCACCAUGAGACUGGUACAGCCAAAUUCUAAAUGAAAUCCAUUCAACUUCCAAGACGAACAAAUAGGUGCCUCAAAAUGAAUAAUGUUCUCCAUUUGACGUUAUGGUGCUUGAUGGCCAAGGUACGAUCUUGGAAGCAAAAACUUCAUAGCAACAAAAUAUGUAAUAUUGACAUAUUGAAAACCCCAAAAGAAAAAUCUCAGAGAAACUAGCAGUUUGUGAUUAUAGAAUAGAGUAGCUUCCUCUAACUGAAGACUAUACUUUCUUGCUCAAUUUGGCCAAGUGUAAUUUCAAGAUUGAUGGGACUGAAGCGACAAUUUUUUGGUAAGAAUACUUCGACAGAGUAUAUAGCAAAAUGCCCUGCAAGAGAUGACAGCAGGAAAUGUAGACAGACAUGCCUUGAAAAUAUGCUAUCCAAUGAUUACAUGGCCUGAUACUUCAAACACGUCGAGAUCAAAAGUCAAUUGCAUGGUAUGACUAUAAGAAAUAUUGCUAGAGUUCAAGAAUAGAACUGCAGAAACCAGAGUGCCCUGAAGAACCAGGAUACCGAAACCAAUAAUUUGGAUGACUAACCCAUAUAUUAAUUAAUUUAUUUGGUGGAGCAUUUAUCCUAACAAAACAUUCACCAUCUCAUAAGAAUAACUGAAUGAGAUGGUGAUAAUCACUGACAAUGACAGGAAUUCAUAAACUUUUGAUCAAAGUAAACCUUAAUAAGGAGAAACCAAGAACGUCGGCAGGUUCUCUUCCAACACAAAUUGCAGAAAAUGAUAUAUCCGCUUCAUCAGACGCAUUCAACCAACCUUCAGUUUAGAUAUCAUAGGUAAGAUCAUACCAGCAUCAACUUCCAAUAUUCCACGGUCUUCGUGGGUCACAUUUCAAAUUCUCAAAGGCAGAAACACCCAUCAGUUCAGCAGCUUAAACAAUUUCAUGAUCUGCUGUCAGUGCAUUCCCUAUUUACCAUUCCACUAUCUUCUUGACCAGAGGAAAAUUCAAAUGCCAUUGAGAAAAUCAGAGUUGACAGCAUAUUCUAAUCAUCAUCGCUCUCCUUUCUGCACUCCUCAUCAAAUAGAUCUUCAGGUGGAUCAUAAACUACAGUAUCUGGGAACAGUUCCAGAAAGUCAUCCUUCACUUUUUCUCUCAAUUCGGGGUAAGGAAGUAGCCCCUUCAACAUAACACGAUAAGGUAAAGACAUAGGAGGAUCAGGAGAGCGCCUCAUUUCAUCAUAUAUGUGCAUUGCCUCUGAAGGUAAUCCGCCAUCUAGAAAAGCCCUGACAAGAUCGCCAAAUGUAUGUUGAUCAAAAAGCACCCCUUCUUUCUUCAAAUCUUCCCAUACCUUCUUUGUUUCAUCUACCUUUUUGUUUCUUGCAAGCAUGAAAAGCAUAUCCCUGUAAAAAAACAUGUCUGGCCGAUACCAUAUUUCUUUGCGCACAGCCUCAUACAACUGCAAAAUUUAAGAGUAAAAGUCAGCAAUAUAAACAUUAUAUAAAUGAUUAAUGAAAGUGGAUAACUUCCAUCUCCAGAUAAGAUAAAGAAAGGGACUAGCACUAGGCAAACAUUCUCUAUCUACUCUAGAAUUACCACUUAUGUGGACAACGGGAAGUAAAUAUAAGAAGUUGAACAUCACAUUUCUAUUGAUUAAGAUGAAUUAACCAUCAAAGUAUAAUUGAUAAUGUUUCAAGCAGGAAUCAGACGUGUUCAACAUCGUGAAACACAAUGUUACAUUUUGUCAAAGGAGUAUGAUAGUACAACAAUACAUAGGCAUUACAACAGUUACUUCUGAACGAAACAAGAUAACAUUAUUCCCAAUACGCAACAAACCCAAUGGCGAACUUAUAGCAAAAAAUUGGAGCACCUGAACCCGUGAUCUCUUUGUAAAACUAGAUAUUUUAUGUACAUAUUUUCUAAAAUUAGUAUAAUAUUAUUUGUUGGCACCCAUGCUACAAGAACACUAAAUGAUUCACUUGAUUGAAAGUUGAGUUAUUUACCUAAAAGGACUAGGAAUCAAGUGGUGCACCAUCUUUUUCUUCAAUUUCCUUUCUAUAUUGUACAAUAAUCAAUUUUUAUAACCAAAAAGGGGUUACAACUUGGUAGCAGAAAAAGGAAAAAGAAAAAUUCAAAUUGUUACCCUCAUGGAGAGGCAAGGGAGAUCUUGUCUUUGGAACUCAGCAAGAACGGCGACGAGGUCAGAUUUGAGUAGACGAGAAACAUGGGACUUCAUAAACCGCUCAAACCUAACGGCGUUGGACUGCAAGCGCUUAAGCUCCUUGGCGACCAUUAAACCUUCUUUCCCCAUUUCUUUCUUGCGCCUCCAUAUAGACACACUUGGGCUCGAAGAUGACGCUGAACCAGUAAUGAUUUGUCUGAUUCCGCAGCUAUGGUUUAAUACCGACGCUCGCCGCAGAAGAUUCUGACCUUGACGCCACAUCUGCAACUGGUGAACUUCAGGUGACUCACAAGUCUAAAUCAUGUAAAAGGGGUCAAAUAAGUUGAGUAGAUUUUCUUAGUGACACUUUGAUCAAAAGGUGUCGAAUAAGUUUUAUUUUUGUUUUUACUGACACUUUAAUCAAGGAGGGUCAAAUUUAAUUACUUUUUUAACCUAAUUAGUAUAAAAAGUAAAGAAAAUCAUUCAAAACUCUCGUCUCUCCAACGUUUUUCUUCCUUGAAAAUCGACCAUUAACAGCUUAUUGAAAUCUAGAUUAGAUAUUCUCAUUCUCCGCUUCUUUAUCACCAAUCGUCACUUUGUCUGAAGAUGAACACCAUCGUCGAUCGUCACUCUUCUUAAAACGGGUAAGCCAUUAUUUUUUUGAAAAAAUUUAGGAUUGCGAACAACACAUUAUUGAUAGUAGGAUCUUUUCUUGGGUUAAUAAACAAGAAAUUGUUCUAUAGAUAUGAAAAUUGAAUUAUGGUCUAAUGGGACCUGUUAUUUCUUAUUUACGAAAGAAAAAUGAGAAAUCCAAAAAACCUAAUUUUUGGGAAAUGUGUAUGUGUUGUUGUUGUUCAGUGAAAAGUGAUUUUUUGUUGCUUUUGUUCUUCUUUUUGUUAGCAUUUUGUUUAUAUAUUGGUAGAAAUAUAGACUGUUCAGUUGUCCAACAUAUAACUCAUUUGUUGAAAGAAGUGUCAUAUGUUGCAACAGAGGAGUCAUAUGUUGGUAGAAAUUUCAAUGUAAUUAUCAUAUGUUGGAAUAUGUCACUAUGUGUUAUGACAACCAGAAUGGUCAUCUAUAGUAACAUGUUACUCAUGUGUUGUAACAGAAGGUUCAUCUGUGGCAACAUAAGCAUAUUUACAAUGUAAUGUUAUGGACUCGGACGAUGUCACAUGCGACAAGAGAAAAGAAAGGGAAUUAACAGAGCAAUUCAAAUUGAAAGGAAGAAAGAUUCUGGAAAUCAAUUGUAACAAAAUUGAAUGCCUAACUAAAAAUGAACAAAUUUACCAGAUGAAAAAGGAAAAUCACAAACAUGAUCAAACUUUAACAGGCUAUGGGCAAAUAAAAUCCAAUCACAUUAUUCCUUAAAGAAACAGUAAACAACAAGCUAUUAAGAAAGGAAAAUUACACUUAAGAAGCCAAUCAUAUUUAUCGACUAGGUGACAUAUGUCAGGGUAGAACAUAACACUCUUCUCCUGCAUUUAGCUGACUCAUAUAGCUGACUUGCUUAAACAACAACUAACUAUUAUGCAAAAUUAAAGUGAAGCUAUCGACAUAACUCUCAUGUUCAUAUAUAAAAAAUCAAAGAAAAGAACAAAAUUAGACUUUUUUGAAUAUACAAUGCAGAACUUUUCUCAUGAAAAAAUUAAAACGGAGCUAGGCAGCCAAAGCAUGAAUCAUUUAAGAUUCAAACAGAUCAAGUUAGAGAAUUUCAUGGUCUGAGUUUUCAACAAGAAAAAAAAAAAAGUAAAGCUAUGCAUUCAUAGCAAAUACAGAUCAUAAACUAGUAUGGAUUAACUGGAUAGCUUUAGGUGAUAACACGAAAAAAUGAAAUCUACCUUGUUAAAUUUUAGAAUAAACAAAGAGUCUGCAAGUCACUCAAAUCACAGGAAUGUGACAAAGAGUUGAAAGAACAAGCUGUUAUAUCCAUCAUCAAUGAAGUAAUUAUCAUGUACAAAGAGAGAACAAGAACAGAAGCAUGAUGCACAGUGCAUAUGUAGUCAAGGGAGCCGACGUGUGAAGAUGAAUUUGUGAAUCUUUAAUUAAAUAAAGGUUGCUCGUCAUACAAAUAUGACAACAACAACAUUACAAAGGAAAUUUCCAAUCAAACAACCCCUAGUCUGAUCCAUUUAAUACAUUACUGAACUCAUUUAAAUAGCUAAGACAUGUUACUAAAGAGAUGGCAACAAGCUGGUUCAGCGGUACUCAAGUAAAAGGGGCUCAAGAUGAGGAGUAAUAAAUAAGCAUGAUUAACAAAAUGAGCUCAAAUAAGGAAGAAUGAAGCAACAGAAUUAGACAAUUCACACCAUAUGUAUAUUUAGCUAUAUUCAAAUAUUAGAACAACAACUUUGUAUUUUCAUUAAGGUUGGACACUAAAAUGUUUAAGAACAGCAACAUCUUUAGUUCAUAAAGAAACUAAAACUGAAAAGAUUGUUACCUUUCCGAGGGCAGCGAACCCGGCUCGAACUUGAAAAAAGGGGAAAAAGGGGCGUGAGGGUUGUUGGAUGUGAUCGCUUAGGAUUACUAGGGUUUUGGGUUGGGGAAGACGAGUACGGGAGUGUGGGGCCUGUAGGAUCGUCGUUCUUUCGCGGAGAAGAAGAAGAGUAGCGGGUCGGUUCGGGUUGGUAUUGCUAUGGUCGGGUCGGGUGUUACUGUGCGUAUGUUGCUGCUGAUUGUGUUUUGUACUAAUAGAAAGGGAUUGGGUCGGGUUUCGUUGAUGGGUCGGGUCUUCUGGUUGGAGGAAUUGGAAUUGAAGAAGGAAAAAUUACAUAAUUGAAGGUCUUUUAUUUAAUAAUUACCACUUUUAAGUAUAUUUUUAAUUUAUUACCAUUUUUGUCAACUUUUAGCAAUACUUACUUAAAACAAAUUUGUUCCUUUUCAUGUAAUUUUUAAACUUAGCAAAAAAGUGUUGACCAUUCGCUCAUAUCCUCUCUCUCUUUUCUUUCUACUCUUCUGUCCAAAAAAUUUAGGGCUUUGUUGUUCUUUCUUCCCCAUUUUUCAGCACAGAAUUCUAAUGGAAGAAGGUAACGAAAAUCGCUUAGAAGAAGUCCACGGAUACUUAGUGAUGUUGGUACUUCGAAUCAGAAAGUUUAUAGAAGAAGUCGAAUGAGAGGUCAAGUUUCAUCUCCUACUGCUACGGAUGAAGUUAAUGACGGUCCCAAUUUUAGUUUAGGAAUCUCACAAGUAUCGGGUGAGCAGAAUCAUUUGCAUUCUUUAGGUUAUAUUUGAACCGAUAUUUCUUUGAGGGUGGGGUGGGGGGUUUAUUUUUAGUUGUUUUUUAUUAACUAUGCAUGAUUUUCUUUUGUCUUUGUCCUUCUUUCCAUGAAUCAGGAUCUACUCAAAACUGGUUUGUGAGUAAUGAUGGUUUGUCCCUAUUUUGUUUUGAUGGUCACAUUCUGGGCAUGAAGUUCAUUAGUGUGAAGGUGGAUGCGUAAUUUUUUUUUUGGGUAGUUGACCAAACAUUUCUGUUUUACUUAAUUGCAAAUAUCUUCUCUUUGUCCAUUGUUUUGUCUAGAAUUAGUGAGAGCUUGUCAAAUAGCUGGCAACACUUGUUCGUGUUAAUUUGGAAAACAGAUGGAAAAUAUGUGUAAAUGAGAGGACACAUCAUAUAUUUGGAAUAACAUUGUUCCAUGUUCUAUCUGAUCUUUUCUCCCGCACUCGAAUGUUUUGUUCCAAUGGAUAAAGUGGAAAUGUAGGUUUAAGUUGCUUUGGAAGUUGGUUUUUUGAUAGAAAAUAGAGCUUUAAGUGUAUGACAACUAGCUCAUUGUUUACGCUGCUUGUGUUGAAGUUGAUAAAUUUUGGGUCUGGAUUUGGAACCAGAAGUGGUCAUUGGUCUUAUUCAUCUUUAAUUCAAUUGAUUACUACCUUGCUUUGAUAACUAAAGGUGUUCUCAGACAACAAGACGACUCGCUGUAAGUAGGUAUUCUUUUUUGUAUUAAGUAGAUAUUUUGAUAAUAAUUUUAUAUUGAAUUUUUUAGGGACUGUGGAGUUUUCGUUGCUACAUUUGCAGAGUUUGUAAGUAAUGGCCAACAUAUUCUAAAUCAACAAGUAAAGGCAGACAUUCUCCGAAAGAGAUUUGGAGCUAUAUUAUGGGAAUAUGCAAGAAGGAAGCAACGAGUGACCUUCAAAGUGAAGACGAAAGACCGGAUAGAUAAAGAAUAUAGUUAUAUUAGUUAGUAUGACUAUGAAAACUACAUGGUGUAAAAACAGUUUGUAGUUAGUAUGGCUAUGAAAAACUAUAUCGGUCUAUUGUAAGUCUUGGUAUUAUAUACCUAACUGUAUUUUGUUUAUGUAAGUCCUCUGUUUGAGGUUGUUCUUUCUUCGUGUCCUUACUGGGGCUGUCAUGGCGAUUGUUUCAGGUUUGGAGUUUUGGGGAUUACCCAAUGCACCGAUGUAAUUGGCUAAUAGCAUAAAUCUGCCGUCUUUGUUGCCUUUGAACUGGGUGGGAUCGUAUGUGACUUGAGCUAUAAUAGUUGUUGGGUAAUUGUCGACCUUGUAAUCAGGUGUAGAUUGUAUCAAUUCGUAUUUGGGUAUUUGCCGAUCGUAUGUGACUAGAGCUAAAUGAUAUAGAUGUCAUGUUAACACCCUUUUGAUCUUUUGACUUUUGUUUGUGGUCUCUGUCGAUGAAUCCUCUCUCUUUUUCUCUCCCCUACUGGUAUAUUCCCCAAACCCUUAGAAGGCUGAAUUGGAAAGCAUAAGCCAAAGGCUAGUUGAGGAUGUUAUUAAUGGCAAAGCAAUCCUCUGAAAGUGGGUGAUUUGGUUUGCAUAUAAGAUUCUGUGAGCAUAGAAAUUGGUUUAUUAUAAGGUGAAUGGAUGUUAGUGUAAUAUAAUUCAAUGUAGCUUUUAUUGUCAUAUUUGUUGGACAUAGUAAUGAGAUGUACUAUACUUUUUCUUAACUUUCUGAUUGCUUAGCUUUUAUUGAGCAAAUGUGUGCUGGCAUGUACAAUUUGUUUAAUACAGUUUUAAUACAGUUUUACUGCAAUUGGCAGUAUACUCCCUGCACCAUUCGAAACCCCCUUUUUCUUGAAGGCCUAAAACGAUAUCAAGAUUGCAGUGGAAGCACCCACACAACCAGCAUACUGAACUCUAACCUUAAAAAAUUUACAACUCUAAUCCUUCAAUACAGUUCACGAUAUAUACAUUCUUCCAACACACAAAACUCAAACUGGUGUGAUAAGUAAAAAGAAAAUGGAAGCCACAAAGAUAAGCAGCAAGAACACAAAAGAUAGAUGAGCAUUUUUACUGGGGUGUGAAAAGAUCCAGAACCGAGGAAGUACAUACCAGAUAUCCACACCUAUAAGAGUCCUCACCAGUUGGAUCAUUACAAAACAUAAGCAUCUGGACUAAUAGCAAAAAAUGCACUUAUGGAAAGAGUUAUCGUAGUUGAAAACAUUCAUGUAACAACACUUUUGACAACAAAGUAAGGGACUCUUUCUGUCCAGGGAAGAAAACUGAAUCGAAGAGCUAGAUACUAAUACAAAGCCUGAACAAAGAAACUUCAACAUUACGACCAACAAGGCUACUCCAUGAAAGGGAGACUUCACUGAUCUUGAAAGACCCAACAACAGCAAGCACAAAAGAAGUUAACAGUUAAAGUGCUAGAAGCCAAACCCAUACCACAUAGAACAGAUGACUAGAGAUGCCAGACUCAACAACUCCCCUGCCAGUGCCUGGUGAUAUCCAAAUUGCAGUGCAAGCACAAGCACCAAAAUGACAAAGGAAUAGUGUGCACAAGGGAAGGACGAAACCAUACUUCAAAAUUACCAAAUCCAAUCCCCCUCACGGUCACCAUGUGGUCUACAAACAUGCAUCUAACCAAACUUGUAUUAAAAGUGUAUUACACUAUAUUAAAAUUGAAUUAGAAGAGUGAAUUAAGAAAAAAAUAUAAACAAGUAUCUAAGGAAACGACGAGAGAGUGUUCUAUAAAUUGAAUUAUACUUCAAUCUAUUAUGAAUUAAGCAAGUAAUUCAAUAGUAACAAAUCAACCAACAAACUUCAAAAUGGAUUAAACUUCUAUUUAAAGUGGUAACACAAAAAUACUAAAGUUGAAUUAGUAAAAAGAGGAUUAAGAAAGAAUUUAAACAAGUAACUAAGGAAACGACGAGAAAGUGUUCUAUAGAUUGAAUUAAACUUGAAUCUAUUAUGAAUUAUGCAAGUAAAUCAAUCAGAAGAGUGAAUUAAGAAAGAAUUUAAACAAGUAAUCAAAUCAUAACAAAUCAACCAACAAACUGCAAAAAUGAAUUAAACAUGUAUUAAAAGUGUAUUACAAUGUAUUAAAGUUGACUUAGAAGAGUGAAUUAAGAAAAAAAUUAAACAAGUAACUACGAAAACGACGAGAAAGUGUUCUAUAGAUUGAAUUAAACUUGAAUCUAUUAUGAAUUAAGCAAGUAAAUCAAUCAGAAGAGUAAAUUAAAAAAGAAUUUAAACAAGUAAUCAAAUCAACCAACAAACUGCAGAAAAUAAAUUAAACUUGUAUUAAAAGUGUAUUACAAUGUAUUAAAGUUGACUUAGAAGAGUGAAUUAAGAAAAAAUUUAAACUAAUAACUAAGGAAACAAUGAGAGAGUGUUUAAUAGAUUGAAUUAAACUUGAAUAUAUUAUAAAUUAAGCAAGUAAAUCAAUCAGAAGAGUAAAUUAAAAAAGAAUUUAAACAAGUAAUCAAAUCAUAACAAAUCAACCAACAAACUGCAAAAAUAAUUAAACUUGUAUUAAAAGUGUAUUACACUGUAUUAAAGUUGAAUUAGAAGAGUGAAUUAAGAAAGAAUUUAAACAAGUAACUAAGGAAACGACGAGAAAGUGUUUUAGAUUGAAUUAAACUUGAAUCUAUUAUGAAUUAAGCAAGUAAAUCAAUCAGAAGAGUGAAUUAAGAAAGAAUUUAAACAAGUAAUCAAAUCAUAACAAAUCAACCAACAAACUGCAAAAAUGAAUUAAACUUGUAUUAAAAGUGUAUUAUACUGUAUUAAAGUUUAUUUGGAAGAGUGAAUUAAGAAAAAAUUUAAACUAAUAACUAAGGAAACAAUGAGAGAGUGUUUAAUAGAUUGAAUUAAACUUGAAUCUAUUAUGAAUUAAGCAAGUAAAUCAAUCAGAAGAGUGAAUUAAGAAAGAAUUUAAACAAGUAACUAAGGAAACGACGAGAAAGUGUUUUUAGAUUGAAUUAAACUUGAAUCUAUUAUGAAUUAAGCAAGUAAAUCAAUCAGAAGAGUAAAUUAAAAAGAAUUUAAACAAGUAAUCAAAUCAUAACAAAUCAACCAACAAACUGCAAAAAUAAUUAAACUUGUAUUAAAAGUGUAUUACACUGUAUUAAAGUUGAAUUAGAAGAGUGAAUUAAGAAAGAAUUUAAACAAGUAAUUCAAUCAUAACAAAUCAACCAACAAACUGCAAAAAUGAAUUAAACUUGUAUUAAAAGUGUAUUACACUGUAUUAAAGUGAAUUAGAAGAGUGAAUUAAGAAAGAAUUUAAACAAGUAACUAAGGAAACGACGAGAAAGUGUUUUUAGAUUGAAUUAAACUUGAAUCUAUUAUGAAUUAAGCAAGUAAAUCAAUCAGAAGAGUGAAUUAAGAAAGAAUUUAAACAAGUAAUUCAAUCAUAACAAAUCAACCAACAAACUGCGAAGAUGAAUUAAACUUGUAUUAAAAGUGUAUUACACUGCAUUAAAGUUGAAUUAGAAGAGUGAAUUAAGAAAAAAUUUAAACAAAUUACUAAGGAAACAAUGACAUAGUGUUCUAUAGAUUGAAUUAAACUUGAAUCUAUUAUGAAUUAAGCAAGUAAAUCAAUCAGAAGAGUGAAUUAAGAAAGAAUUUAAACAAGAAUCCAAUCAUAACAAAUCAACCAACAACAGCAGAGUACUUGACCUCACACACCUAUAAACUUCAAAACUCUUCUCCAAAACCUCCUCAUUCAUAAAUUCAACAUAUCUUAUCAAACACUACCACAACCUCUCCACAAAAGAUCUAGCACACUCAAAAAUGAAUUUAACUUGUAUUAAAAGUGUGUUACACUAUAUUAAGAUUGAAUCAGAAAAGUGAAUUAAAGUUGAAUUACUCAAAUACUGACAAGUGAAUUAAACAUGUAUCUAUUGUGAAUUAAGCAAGUAAUUCAAUACAUGUAUUGCUCGAAAUUCAUUCAUCUCGAAAUUGAUCACGUAUAGCCGAGAAAGAGAAUUAAGCUUGAAUUAAGCAAGUAACUAAUGACAUGCAAUCAAAUUUAAACCUUCUAACAUUUCAAACUUCAAAAAACUUAAAACUCAACUCUCUGCCCUAACUUGAUUCAUCUCGAAAUUGAUCACUGAAUACACAUUGAUGAAGGUGAGUAUAGACGAGAAAGAGAAUUAAGCUUGAAUUAAGCAAGUAACUAAUGACAUACAAUCGAAUUUAAACCUUAUAACCUUUCAAACUUCAAAAAACUUCAAACUCAACUCUCUGCCCAAACUUGAUUUAUCUCGAAAUUGAUCACCGAAUACAGAUCGUUGAAGGUUAGUAUAGCCGAGAUAGAGAAUUAAGCAUGAAUUAAACAAGUAACUAAGACAUGCAAUCAAAUUUAAACCUUCUAACCUUUCAAACUUCAAAAAACUUCAAACUCAACUCUCUGCUCUACUUGAUUUGUCUCAAAACUGAUCACUGAAUACACAUAGCUGAAGGUAGUAUAGUCAUAUUUGUGAAGAAAAUUGUGAGUAAGAAGUGGCGAGAGAAAAUUGCAGCGGCGAGAGAAAAUUGGGAGCGAAAGAUGAAAAGGAUGAAGUGAAUUUAAUUUAAUUCUGCCAAAUUGUCAUAUAUGGUUAAAAAAAUAAUGUUGACAAAUGUGGUAAAUAUUUUUUAAAAAGUAUACACCUAAGUGAUUUUCCCAUUGAAGAAUAUAGUGGGCUGCUGAUAGAGUUGUAAUGGGCUGCUGGGAUUUAGUGAAAUUUGGGCCGGUUGAGCUGAAGAAAAUAGGCCCAAAACUUGGUGUCAGGUGGAUUAAGGUGAGGUAAGAAAAGAGCUUAGAUCGGAAUUGAGAAUUUGUCCCAAUUGAUUGCAAUUAUAGCCAAUUAAAAUUAAAUUAAUUGGUGAAUUCGGUUAAAAGAAUUGAAAUGAGACGAAUUAAUAUAGAUUAAUUAAUGAGUUUUUUUAAUUCCAACGAAAUAAAAUAAUUAACUUUAUUAUAAACUAGUUAAUUCAAAAUUAUAACUGUAAUUUUUAAUACAUUUAUAUUUGAUAAUUUCAAAAUUUGCUUUUAGGAUUUUAGAUUUGGGGAAAGCAUAUGUUUGUCUACAAUGUCUAAAUCAAUGAGAACUACAAGAGGUAUACCAAAUAAGAUUCAGAUUUUUGGAAAAUUUCCCUCGUUUGAUUUAUGUAUUACCCAAGGGUUGCUCGAAAAUGUAGGCUCUGCGGCUAAAAUGGCGCAAGAGAGCAGUCCAAAAAAAAGGAGAGUUAUGAGUUCUGAAAAUCCUGAUGAACAAGUUCAAGUUUAAAGUGAUGAAGUAAUACUUUAUGGCGAUGAAGAGGUAUUAAAUUAUGUUUUCACAAAAUUAUUUGAAAAUAUUUUUGAAUGUUAUGUAGUUGUAGUUAAUUUUGUGUUUGCCUAUUUAUUUUUUAUUGUAUAAGUUAAAUGUACAUAAACAAGAUUUGUAUUUUUGGUUUUUUUUUUCUGUUUUUCUAUCUAACAUACAAUUGUAUUCAUAAUGUGUAUCAUGUUGCCCACUAACAUAGAUUUCUAUAUAUUUUUUUAGAAAUUGUGAUUAUUUUUCAUUAUUGUUAUAGUCACCCAAGAGUUCUUUUUUUCAAAUAUGAUUUUGUAAAUUAGAUACAUUAUGUAUGUGUGGUUGGUGAUGACAAAUAUUGUAUUCUACUAGCUCAAAUAUUUGUCCCUAAUAAGUUGUAUACAUAUAUUACAUAGUUGUAUUAUAUCAGCACCUUUCUGUAUCCCAAUUUAUUAGUAUACUAGUAUGAGUUCAGUAUUUAUUAUAUUUUUUCGUAUUAAUUUGUUAUCUGAUUCAUAUUCAUAAAUCAGAAUGCAUUUGUAUAUAAGUAGUUUAUGUAUCAAGUUUUCAGAUUGUAUUUCAUUUUUUCGUAUUUGUAGUUUCUCUUAUUCUAAAUACAUUUAUAUGUCAAUAAUUAUACAAAUAUGUAUUCAUUUACUUGAACAUGUGCAGGCAAAUGAUUUUUAUGUCAAAAAUUAUCCUACAAAAGCUCCACAUUUUCAGUGUGUCUUCAACAAUGACAUAAACACAGACUUGAUUAAAGAUUUACAUGAGCAUGUAUAUAAGGUAUUUCGUGAGAGAACUUGUUUUGGUCACUGCAUGCAAAUGCAUAGAUGUUGUGCACAUGGAUAAAUACAUAGGUGUUGCAUGGUUUUAGAACUCAAUUGCAGUUCUUGUCAAGCAUUUUUCAUGUGUGUUAAUGGAUCUAUGCUUCGUUUCACGCUAAGAGAAUUCGCUUUGAUUAGUGAAUUAAAUUGUGUUAGUGAUGAAAAAGAUUUCAAUUUUGAUACAAAAGAACCAAAUAGGUUGAUGAAUUAGUAUUUUCAGGGUGUUAAGUUGAUCCGAAAAUAGAUCUAAUGGAGAGAUUUAAGGGAAAGUGUAGGGUGAUAACGAUCAGGAUGGCUUGAAGUUUGUCAUCUUAUUCUUCAUCCAAACAGUUAUUUUUUCUGGUGAAAAAAAGGAUCAAAAAAGUUCCCAGACUACAUUUUUACUGGUUGAAAGCGAUAUGUGCAGUCAGUUUUCAUGGGGUAAAAAAGCAUUAUACUUGUUGAUGAAGAGUUUGAGCAAGAAGUUGGAUAGCUCAAAAACGUUUAACAAAAUUGGUGGCAUGUCAAUUGUCAUUCAAGUAUGGUUAUACGUGUGCAGUUCAAGUAUCAACUUCCAAGUUGCUCAAAAGGUUGAUGACCACAUUUCGAGGUUACUCAGCUGGUAGACGGCUGAAGUGAAACUGAGAUAUAAGAAACUAAUGAAUACCAUAUUCAGUGAUGUUAAUAACAAGGUAUUCAAUUGAUAUAUAUUGAAUAAAAUUCAAUUUGUAUAGUUUUAUUAUCGUUUAUAUUAUAAAUAGUAAUAAAAUUUGUUUGGUUCAGUUUAAAUUCAGGAACAUUACACCCAAUCCAAGGGAACUUGCAGUAUUGCAAUUGCCACCGGAGGGUAUCAAAAAUCAAGGCGAAGGUCAGUAUUCUGAUUCAUCUGACGAUGAUUUAGAUGAUGUUACAAGUUAUGAUAAAGAUUCUGACGAUGAUUUUCAAGAACCUCCUCCACCAAUAGUAAAGGAUAAAAAAAAAGUUGGUUCUUCACUGACGCCUGUUAAAAAAAAGGACGAAGAAGCAGUUGACUGAUGGAGCCAAACAAGCUGUACAAAAGAUAAAACCUCGUCUUGUUGUAAAACAGUCGGUGAAAAAGGAUAUUAUCUAAAAUUGUACCGAAGAAACCUAAUGUUGUUUUAAAGCAGACUGAAUCUGUCUCUGCAGAUCCAAUUAAAACAACAUCUAAGGAUUCUGACAUUCCAAGAACAAGCGAAUCUGAAGUGCAAGUCUAGAUGAAAGAGUUGUCAGAUAUCUAACAUUUAAUACAUUAAUUGGAUAUUUCAACAUUUUUAGCAUAUUUAAUUUUUAUUAAGCUACAUUAUUAUGUCCUAUUUUCAGGUUAAACAAGAGUUGUUGACAUUCGCAAAUUGAUCAACGAUAACUUCAAAAUUGUUCUGACAUCCAUUAAUUCUAAAGAUACUGAGCAGGAGGUUCGCUAUAAUCAAACACAAUGAUGUAAUGUAUUUUAACUAAUCACUUAGUUUUUAAUGUAUAUGCUGUAAUAUAACACAAGAGCUGUUAGAUUUCAGAAAAGAGGUAUCUACCGUUUAAUACAUUAAUUUGAUAUUUCAACAUUUGUAGCAUAUUGAAUUUUUAUUAAGCUACAUUGUUAUGUCCUAUUUUCAGGUUAAAUAAGAGUUUGUUGACAUUCACAAAUUUAUCAACGAUAACUUCAAAACUGUUCUGACAGCCAUUAAUUCUAAACAUAUUGAGUAGGAUGUUCGUUAAAAUCAAACAAUAUGAUGUAGUGUAUUUUAAUUAACCACUUAUUUUAUAAUGUAUUAUGUUGUAAUCUAACACAGGUCAGACAUUCUUAUGAUCUCAUUGUCCCCCAAAUUUAAAUGAUGAAGAGAGGUAUAGAUCACCAGCUACUUCAAUUUCGGAAUCUCCAUCAAAUCAAGUGCAGGUAGUUUAGUUAGACAAACUGAAAUUUGAGAAAUUGGAGGUACUUGUAUUUUUUUUAUUAAUUUGGUUCAAUAUGGAACUAUAUAAUUAUCUUUUUUUUCUUCUAUAUUUUCUAUAGUUUAAAUGUAGUCUUUUUUUGAUCAAAUUGUAUCCAAAAUUAUUAAUACAUUGUAUUUUCUACAAUUUGAAUCUAUUAACCUUUAUAAAGUUGUAUCCAUUAACAUUUGUUUAUAUAUUUUUUAUUUUUUUAUUUUUCUGUUAAGACCAUCAACAAUCUAGAUGGCAGUGAUUCCAAAAUUGUUGAGCAUGAGGUAAGUCAAGUUUUAGAUUGUAUUUUCUACUCAAUACAUUUAUAUCCAUUAACCUUUAUAUGCCUCUUAUCUUUAUAUUUUCUACAUUUAUAUACUUUAAAUGUAGCCAUUUUGAUCAAACUGUAUCCAGCAAUCUUAAUACAGUUUAUUUUUACAAUUACGUAUCCAUUAACCGUCAUAAAAUUGUAUCCAUUAAUAGUUAUCAUUUGAAUUGGACAAGGAGUUUACAUUGUUGUAUCCAUUAACAUUUGUUCAUGUGUUUUUAUUCUUUUAUGUUGGUUUUAAGACCAUCAACAAUCCAGAUGGCAUUGGUUUCAAAAUUGAUGAUCAUGAGGUAAGUCAGGUUUUAGAUUGUACUUUUGAUUAUAUAUCAGUACUCCAUUUUAAUUUUUUUGUAUAUCCUUAUGUGAAUUCAAUAUACAGAUUUGUUUUAAUUUUUAGUGUUCUUAAUACAUGUUCAAUUUUAGCUUAUCAAUUUCAUUUAUAAUUUUUUAUAUUAUAAGGUUGUUUAUCUCAACUCCCCUGUUCGAAAUCUGAUUAAAGUGAAUGUUGUAUUCAGUGAUCCAAGACCUAUAGUUUCAAGAGUACAUUAUUUAAUUUUAUAGACAAAUUACGUAUAUUAUUAUUAGGUUUAUUUAAUAUAAGGAAGUUAUAUUUUUAUCAACUUACCAGGUACCUUAGCCAAACUUUGCAUUUGAUGUACCCCAAAAAACAGUUCCGGAUGUAUUUGAAAAAACACAUGAACACGCCGAGGAACAAUGCCAAUGUCCAGUCCCUAUUCAGUCUAUGGAUCCCAUUAACGCGACAACACAUUUACAGUUUGAAUUGGAUGAUCAUUUCAUGCCAAGUCUCAAUUCUAUAAAGAGUAUCAUCGCACCACAGUCAACCAUAAUCAGAUCACACCGCACCGCAGUCAAUCAUAAUUGCAGAUCACAUCACAAUUACUGUAGAUCACACCACUAUCGAUGUCCAGACUGGUACGAGCGAAGAAAGAAUCAUGCAUGAUCAGACCGCCAUCAAUAAUGAACAAACAAUGUUACCUAUGCAUAGGAAUAUACGUUCAGCUCCUUAUAAUACAUCUCCGUAUCUGACCACUUUUGAAUCAUCUGCUGGUAUAAUAUUCCAAUUUUUUAAACUUUUUUUUUAUUUCUCAUCCCGUAAUCAAUAUCCACAUUGGAGCCCGACUAAAUUCGAAUUCGAGCCGAAAAGUUUCACAUUGGGGGAUAAAGCGCUCCUUAACAAAGGUGACUCCGUACCCAAGGGGACUCGAACCCAAGACCUCUUGGUUAAGGAUGAAUGAGUACUUACCACUCCACCAUAGCCCUUGUUGGUAAUUUUUUUUUUAAUAAAACUUUCUUAUUGUAGUCAUUUUUAUUAUUAUUAGUAUUAGUUUGUAUUACUUUAAUUUUUUGUAACCCUUUCAGGUAGUUCAUCAAGUCAGCCCCAUAUUUUUUAACUGAAACACCCAUUCAUAUUUGAUUUAAUUUCUGACAAUCAUGUUAUACCUUUGUGGGAUGCAUAUCGUACAUGAGUCCGAGAAGGUAUGCUUACAAAGCAUGAGAAAAAGUAAGUAGUUGAGAAAUAAAUACAAUAUAUUUUUGCAUUAUAACUACUAUUUGUAUUCAUUAAAAUGUUUGUUCGUGUUUCAACAUCAUUAUUUGUUAGGUGCAACUUAUAUCUAAGUUGUCUUGAUAAAUUUGUAUUUCUUAGCUGAAAGUAGUAAUUAUCUUUAAUGAAUGUUUUUCAUUGAAUUGUAUAAUUUUUUCAUUUUGUAUUCUUUUUAGGCAGCAUGAUCAAGACCAUUACAAGAAGAAUCGAGCUAACAUCCCUGUGGCCAUGAAUUUUGGCGUUGUCCUAAUAGAUAAUAAGAACUGGUUCUACAAUCUGUCUUUCAAAGGACACUUAUUGAAUAAUUCGGUAAGAAUUAUAUAUCUUUAUCUUUCCUAACAAUGUUGAUUAGUAGUUACAUUAUUUAUAUCUUUAUUUUUUACUUUCUCAGCAUAUCGAUGUGAUUUUCUAUUAUCUCCGUAAGAAAGCUAAGUACGAAGUUGGAAGCAGUUACAAAUACACAACUGUAGAUUAUGUAUUUAGUUCAAAGAUUUCUUCUAUUCGGGACAAGUACUUAGAUUUAGACAAAAGAUUUCUUCUAUACAGUCAAGAUACGCUACAUGAUGUGAGGCCAAAAAUACACAUUUUUAAUCAUUAUUUGCCUCACAUUUAUUAUUUAUAUUUAUCCUUUUUGAGCAUGAAGUUUAUGGAUUGUACUAAAUUGUGUAUUUUAUUUGUAGGAUUGAAUUGGUGUGAAGAUGAAGAAAUUUGGAACUAAAACGAAUUAAAUAUGGAAGGUUGAAGAAGGAAAUCAAGCAGGUAGUUUAAUAGAUUAAAUUGAAUAAAAUAAUAUAUAAUAUAGGGAUAAGGGUCUGAAAAAUACCCCACUUUGAUCAAAUUUGUUGUUGCAAUACUAAACUUUCAUAAGGACCUAUUACCUCCAUACACUAUUUAAUACCGUAUUUUAAACAUAUAUUGCCCACGUGGACAUAAAAAAUAAUGCAAACUUAUAAAUAGUAAUGUGUCCACAUGGGCAUAUAUAUACUUUUAAAAUACACUAUUAAAUAGUUCAUGGGGUAAAAAAUACGGUAUUAAAUAGUCUAGGGAGGUAAUAUGUCCUCAUGAAAGUUUAGUAUCGCAACAACAAGUUCGACCAAAGUUGGGGUAUUUUUCAGACUCUUAUCCCUAUAAUAUAUAUAUAUAUAUGAAGUGCAUUGAAGGAAAGAAUUUGAAUUGUCGUAAAAGACCUGCCACGUGUCACUAGCGACGGAAGCAUCAACGAAAAUAAUUGAAGGCGGCGGACGAAACAGUUUCACGCAUACAUAAAUUCUAAUUCCCUUUGGUUUUGGAUUCCUAAUUUGUUUUGGGCUCAAUUAUUUUAUUCAGGAUUUCCUAUAGUUGUAAUUGCUCUAUGUCUAUGUGGAGUUAAACUUCUUGUUCUUGGAUUAUAUUUACUUACAAUAUAAAUGUUUAGUUAUUUUGAUUCGGCAUGAUUUGUUUAUCAUAUUAGUUGUUCUUAUAUUCUUGUGAUUACUAUUUUGAUGCUUGAUCACCAUUGAAAUAAACAUAUUGUCCGAAUUGAACUCGGGAUAGGAAUAAGAGGAUAGAACGUGGAAUAUAAGGAGCAUGAUUUUCUCUUAAUAAUUAGGGUUAAUUUGUAUCUAGGAUAGGGAUAUACCUAAAAACCAUGCUUGGUCACUAUACAUGAAGAAAUCGUAAUGCUUGAUACUUAAUCCAUCCUAUCCCCACUCAACGAUGUAGUUAGGGUGUUAUUUAUCGUAGGUGAUUAGAGGUCGGGAGACCAUGAUCAUACAUUUAACUCUGUGAAUCAAUAACUAGAUAAUCAAAUAAGUUGAUGAAAUUGAUGUUAAACAUGAUUGUUAGUUAAAUUAUAAUCCUAGAUCGAUUCAUUCAUUGAUAGUGUAAACAUCUAUCUUUUCUUAGUUAAUUGCUUUUUAGUUAUUUUAUCUUUAUUUUUAGUUUAGUUAAUAAAUUCAUCUUUUGAAAUCCUCCCUUAAAUAAAUAAUUAUAAUUAAUAUAAUUUAGUAAGAAUAAUUAAUUGACAAGUCUUUUGGGUUCGAGAAUUCGGUUCUUUUAAGAGCCACUAUAUUACUUGUGCGGCCGCGUACACUUGCGUGUGCAAUUGGAAGCAACACUACACUUCUUUGAAACUAUGGCCAACAAAAGAAUGAUGUCGGAGCUAUAAGUGACAAUGAAGCACAUCCACGACAUAGCAAGAUUAACGUAGCUUUUGAGGAUAGUGAUACAAUUCAAAUAGAUUAGUUAUUGUCUAUUUUGCUAAGGAACCCCUCUAACGUUAUGAAGUUCUGGUUUUAUUACUGUUUUUCAUAAUUUUAAUAUUUUGAAGUUUUGUGGUUUAUCUUUAGAUACCUUUUUGUAAUAAAACUACUAACUCAAAAUACAACUUAUAAAUGACCAAAUUAUAGUAUAUUUAUGCAUAUAUUAUACAGGUCUUAAUCAUAAUUGUAUUAGUAAGGCAUAUUUUGUAUUUUAUUUUGGUUAAAACAAUACAAUUGUGAUAUUGAAAUACAACCUGAUCCAGAAAAAUACUCUCUACAAUUUUAAAGUAAAAUACUCUCUACAGUUUUAAUCAUAAAUGUAUUAUUAAGACAUAUUUUUGUAUUUUAUUUGGUUAAAGCAUAUAAUUUUGAUGAAAACAUAAUAUAUAAAAUUGUGACGAAUACAUUAUAAGAAGGGAAAUACAAACUUAUUGGUAUUCAUUUUGUGUUUGAAAUACAAAAUGAUAUUGAAAUACAUCCUGAUACUAAUUAUAUACAUAAUUAUGUAAUAUAUAUAUAUUUCAAAAAUUAUAAAAAGUGACAAAACUAUUUUAAAAUAACUUGCAAACCAUUUUUUUGAUAUAUAAAACUAACUAUUUUAAAUCGUUUGAAAUUGAAGAAACUCGAUUAAUUCAUAUCGUGGAUGGUCAAAAUUAGGUGUCAACAUUUAUCCCAUGACGGUUCAAUGUUGCUAUUGUGGAAUCUAUGUUGAACUUAAGACAUCAAGGAAAUCAAUUAAUCCUGGAAGAAUGUAAUAAGUGUGGAUUCUUUCAAUGGACUGAUGCAAAUGAUUCAACAUUUCAAGAACAAUACAACACCAAGAAUCCAUCAAUGAAUUCAGGGCAAGGAAGACAUAGAAGACAAGGAUCAAGCAGUAGUAUUGAUAUCAUUGUUAUUGUGAUUGUUGUGAUUUGGUUUCUAACUGUUCUUUUUAAGAUGUAUUAAUUAGUAUUAGUUGUUAUUUGAUAAUGAAAUGGCAUAACAAAGACAUUGGCUUCAAUAGUUGAUUGCAUUGGCUUUAGAAUAGCCUCUUAAUACAAAUCUGAAUAGCAACUUAACAAAGGCAUUAACUUCAUUCAACACAGAUUCAUAUAUGAAAGUAAAGUCUUCCCAAUAGCAAGUUAACAAUAGUCGAAAAUGAAAACAGAACCAAAACAGUUGGGAUCAAGUCAUUAAGCUAAAUAAAGUCAAUUCGGAUCAACUCAUUAAGCUAAACAAAGAGAAAUAUAAUGUGUGACAUUAGGGCUUGGUGUGGCAUGAGUGUUAGUUGUGGCUUGAAUGCUUCUGUAACUCUCCUCUCGUAGCUGCCUUUGAGUAACUGCUGCUCUUUCCUUCCACCUUAGUCCAUUGGGUUUGUAACCAAGAUCAAUAUUGGUAGGAAUUAAACUUGACAAUGUAGCACUAUGUAACACCCUAUCAGUAUUUCCAGAAUGAGAAAACAACAAGAAUCAUCACUUAAAGAUGAACUAAUAUCAAUUAAGGCAAUUAAAUGAUAAAAUACAUACCCUCUCAAUUACACUGCCACCUGAUCCAAAUAAGAGACCAUAACCAAUUAUUUUUGCUUUUAUUUUUGUCUUGGUCUCUUAUAUCCAAGAGUUGCAUCACCCCUCUAAGUUGUGCUAGUCUUUCUUUUUUGGCCAGUUGCACUAUAAGUUGAUUGUUGAGUACCAAAUGGAGUUGUUGCAGUCCUCACACCACUUGAUGAAGCAUUUGUAGGCCUUCCACCAGAAAUUGAGGCAGUUGCAGCCCUCACACCACUUGAUGAAGCAUUUGUAGGCCUUCCACUAGAUGUUGAGGCAGUUGCAGCCCUAACAACACUUGAUGUAGCCCUAGUAGGCCUUCUACCAUAUGUUGAGGCAGUUGCAGCCCUUACACCUGUCGUGGUAGGUGUCACACUUGGACCUGCAUUUACACUUGAUUGACUUCUUAUUCCAACAUUUGUAAAAUCAGAUGCUUCAUCACUUUUACCAGUUCCAGCCGUUGAAGUUCUAACAUUUUUCUACAAACAUAUCUUAAAGUCUAAAGUGCAACUAAAAUUCAACUAUUGAAAGUCUCUCACAUGUUGUUCUCAACCACAUCACAAUUGCUAUGUUCUUUAAAUUAUGAUUUAAAUCGUGCUUAUUUAUUAUACUUUAUCAAAUCUUCCACAAUGCCUUGUCCUAACUGACUCAUGUCAUCAAGUUUUACGUAAAAAGGACCUCAAAUGAUGCCCUGACAACAUGCCAGAAUUUUCUUCACCCCUCCACUCUUUCUUCCACUUUUCCCAUAUAUGCCUAGCACACCAUCUAAUUUCAACAUUUGGUAAUAAUUCAGCAAGUGCAAGAUGAAGACCUUGUCAAACAAAGAACAUUAGACAUACAACAAUGUUAAAUAUUAAUUACUACAGAAAGUUGAAAGAAUAAAUUUGACAACUAAUUUAGUAAUACCUACCUUUUACAUAUCAAGACAUCAAUGUUAGUCAUUCACCUUCAUUCCCUGUAAGUUUCAAAUCAUGUUUGAUGCACUUGAGAAAUCAAGACCAUAUGUCCUUGGUUUCUUUAUUCAACUACUGCCCAUGCUAUAAGGUACAUCUGAUUAUUUCCAUAUUUGAAAAUGCAAGAUAAUAGUUCACCUUUACAUACACUCUUGAGAAAUGCACCAUCUAGACCAAUAAUCAUCUAUACCUUUCUUUCCAUCCACUUUUUAAGGCACAAAGACAAAUAUAGAUGCUCAUAAACACUUUUUCCCUAGAAUUAUGUUAUUGGAUGUCCUAAUAAAUAUAGUAGUUCCAGGUUUGUAGUAGUUGAUUCCUCAUUUAUAUUUGUCUUGGUGUCUUAAAAAGUAGAUGGAAAGAAGGGUGUAGAAGGAUUAUUGGUUUAGAUGGUGCAUUUUCUCAAGAGUGUAUGUAAAGUUGAACUAUUAUUUUGCAUUUCCAAAGAUGAAAAUAAUCAGAUGUACCCUAUAGCAUGGGCAAUAGUUGAUAAAGAAACCAAGGACACAUGGUCUUGGUUUCUCAAGUGCAUCAAACAUGAUUUGGAACUUACAGAGACUGAAGGUGAAGGACUAACAAUGAUGUCUGAUAUGCAGAAAGUAGAUAUUACUAAAUUAUUUGUCAAAUUUGUUCUUUCAACUUUCUUUGGUAAUGAUAUUUAACAUUGUUGUAUGUCUAAUAUUCUUUGUUUGACAGGGUCUUCAUCUUGCACUUAUUGAAUUAUUAUCAAAUGCUGAAAUUAGAUGGUGUGCUAUACAUAUAUGGAAGAAAGAUUGGAGGGGUGAUGAGGGGAGAAGAAAAUUCUAGCAUGUUGAUAGGGCAUUGUUUGAGGUCCUUUUACAGGUAAAACUUGAUGACAUGAGUCAGUUAGGACAAUGCAUUGUGGAAAAUUGUUGAAGUAUAACAAAGAAGCAUGGUGUAGAGCAUAUUUUAAAGAACAUAGCAAAUGUGAUGUGGUUGAGAACAACAUGUGUGAGACUUUCAAUAGUUGAAUUUUGGGUGCUAGAUUCAAAUCAAUCAUCACUAUGCUAGAGGAGAUAAGAGUCAAGGUCAUGGAAAUAAUGAAUCAAAUGAGAGAAUUUUCAGAAAAAUGGACUACUAAUGUAUCACCAAUAGCUAUGGAAGAUCUUAAGCAAAAUGUUGAAAUUGCAGAUGAUUGCGAGGUGAAGUUUAAUGGUGAUCUUGGCUUUGAGAUUCAUGAUCCACCAUAUAAACAUGUUGUUGACCUAAAAAAGAAGGUGUGUGGUUGUAGGUCUUGGCAACUAAAGGGAAUUUCUUGUGCCUGUGCACUUACAUCAAUUCAUUAUAAGGAUUGAGUUGUUGAGUCAUUUGUUGAUCACUCGUAUAAGAAGGAACCAUACUUGAAAGCAUAUAAUAGGUUUAUUCAACUUGUGACAAACAUAAAAAUGUGGCCAAAAAGUAGAAGACCAACCAUUGAACCACCUGAAAUUACUUUCAUGCCAGGAAGACCAGGUAAAAAAGGAAGAAAAGAUAGUAAUGGGCUUGUCAAGAAAAAGUCUGGAAAGGCAACAAGGAAGGGAAGAAAAAUGAAAUGUUCUCUAUGUAAGACUUUUGGACAUAACAAGAAAGGAUGUCCAACUCUGGUAAGUUUUGCUUUAAUGUCUUUCUGUUACUGAAUUUUACUCUUUUUAGUUGUACUUUUGACUUUAAGAUAUGUUUGUAGAAAAAUGUUGGAACUUAAACGGAACUGGUAGAAGUGAUAAAGCAUGUGAUUUUACAAAUGUUGGAAUAUGAAGUAAAUCAAGUGUAAAUCCAGGUCCAAGUGUGACACCUACCACAAUAUGUAUAAGGACUGCAAUUGCCUUAACAUCUGGUGGAAGGCCUACUAGUGCUACAUCAAGUGUUGCGAGGGUUGCAACUGCCUCAGCAUCUGGUGGAAGGCCUACAAAUGCUUCAUCAAGUGGUGUGAGGGUUGUAACUGCCUCCACAUCUUGUAGAAGGCCUACAAAUACUUCAUCAAGUGGUGUAAGGCCUGCAACAACUUCAUUAGUACUCAACAAUCAACUUAUAGUGCAACUGACAAAAAAAAAAGACUAGCACAACUUUGAGAGGUGGUACAACUCUUGGAUAUAAGAGACCAAGACAAAAAAAGAAGCAAAAAUAGUUGGUUAUGGUCUCUUAGUUGGAUCUGGUGGCAGUGUAAUUAAGAGGGUAUGUAUUUUUAUCAUUUAAACACAUUUAAUUGACUUAAUUAAUAUUAGUUCAUCUUCAAGUGAUGAUAUUUGUUGUUUUCUUAGUCUAGAAAUACUGAUAGGGUGUUACGUAGCAACAUUGUCAAGUUCAACUCCUACCAAUAUUGAUCUUGGUUACAAACCCAAUGGACCAAGGUGGAAAGGAAGAGCUGCAGUUACUCAAAGGCAACUACGAGAGGAGAGUUACAGAAGCACUCAAGCUACAACAGACAUUCAUGCCACACCAAGCACUCAAGGCAUAUUAGAUUUCUCUUUGUUUAGCUUAAUGACUUAAUCCCAACUGACUUUAUUUAGUUUAAUGAAUUGAUCCCAAUUGUUUUGGUUCUUUCUUCAUUUUUUACUAUUGUUAAGUUGCUAUUGGGAACACUUUGUUUUUGUAUAUGAAUUUAUGUUUGAAUGAAGUCAAUGUCUUUGUUAAGUUGCUAUUCAGAUUUGUGUUAAGAGGCUAUUCUGAAGCCAAUGCAGUCAACUAUUGAAGUCAAUGCCUUUAUUAUGCCAUUUCAUUAUCAAAUAACAACUAAUACUAAUCAAUACAUGUUAAAAAGAACAACUAGAAAUCAAAUCACAACAAUCACAAUAAUAGUGAUAUCAAACUACUGCUUGAUCCUUGUCUUCCUUUGCCUUCCAUGUCUUCCUUGCCCUGAAUUCGUUGAUGGAUUCUUGAUGUUGUAUUGUUCUUGGAAUGUUGAAUCAUUUGCAUCAGCCCAUCAAAAGAAUCCACACCCAUUACCAGAUGAUUAUUUUUGGCAACCCCAACACAUUCUUUCAGGAUUAGUUGGUGUCCUUGACGUCUUAAGUUUAACAUAGAUUCCACAAUAGAAACAUUGAACCAUCAUGAUGAAGACCAACAAAAUCAAACCAACAAAAAAAUAAUGGAAUCACACAAAAAAUGAGUAAAUCGAAGAAAAAAAAAAGGAGAAGAAAUUUGGAGAAACAAGAUCGAGAAAGAGGCCAGAAAAAAAGCUCAAAUUUGCCCAACAGUGGUGUUGAGUGCAAAUAAGGAAGAAGAGAUAGUUUCUAAAGGAAGAAAAAUGAUCGUUGUUGUAUUUACAAUGUGUCUCACACUCGUAUUUUGGGUGUUUCACACGCUCCGUGUAGUCUCUUGCCACAUAAAAUGUCACAUCAAAAAUUGUGUUUAAAAUGUUGUGUCCUUGAAACAAAAGCAAUUUGUGUUUGACUAAUUCAUCUGAAAAGUGCUUUUAAUAAGCAAAUUGUGUUUGACUAAUCUUAUGUAAGAAGUGCUUUUUCUUAGAGUCAAAUUACGAAAAAGGGCAAGUAUCAAGUACUUUUAAUAUUAAAAUUAUUUUAUAGAGAUAAACUAUUUUAAAUAGGAAAAAAUGUAUAAAAUAACAAAUUAUUAAUUAAAAUUAAAUGUUAUAACCACAAUUUCAUUUAAUUCUAAUCUGUAGCAAACACUUUGCCAUUCGCCUCUCUCCCCAGAUAUCUCGCCCGCCACUCUCUCUCGCCUCUCUCACUUCAUACAAACACAAAUGUAUAAAUUAUGUUUGUGUUUGUAUAAAACGAGAGAAAACUGUAUAUAUAAAUAAAAAUACAUAUAUUUUCGCUCGCCUCUCUCCCCAGAUAUCUCGCUCGCCACUCUCUCUCUCGCAUCUCUCACUUUAUACAAACACAAAUGUAUAAAUUGUGUUUGUAUAAAGCGAGAGAAAACUGUAUAUACAAAUACAAAUACAUAUCUUUUCAUCCUAUACAUUUAUAAUUAUACAAGACAAAUCUUCCCCUGCCUAGUUCUCUUUUGCCUCUCUCUCUUUCUCGCUUUAUACAAACCCAGAUUAUACAAAAAGAAUACUUUCUUAUUUGUAUACAGAUUCCAAAGAAAACUGUAUAUACAAAUACAAAUACAUAUCUUUUCAUCCUAUACAUUUAUAAUUAUACAAGACAAAUCUUCCCCUGCCUAGUUCUCUUUUGCCUCUCUCUCUUUCUCGCUUUAUACAAACCCAGAUUAUACAAAAAGAAUACUUUCUUAUUUGUAUACAGAUUCCAAAUAUACUUAUACAAUUGAUUCUUUUGUAUAAGUAUACCGAAAUAUAGCUAUAACAUACAAAUAUGAUUUUUAUGUUUGUUAAACCUAAAAUUUACUCUUUUAAAUAUCUAUUACAAUUUUUAAAUUUUAUUUUAAUUAAAUUUAAAUGUACAUAUUCAAAUUUUCAAUCAAUAUUAUACAUACAUAAAUAAAUAAAUUAAAUAUUAAUAUAAUUUUAACAUGAAGAUUUAAAUAUAAUUAAAAAUAUUAAACAAAAUAAAUUUAAAAACCAUUCCACAAAUUAAACCACUAUAUACGAAAAGUUCACCACAAGAAUAAAUAAAGUCCUUCAUAUUUUUUAUCCUACAAAACUAUUAUUGUUACCUUUGUUUCUAAUUUUGUAAAAUAAAACGUAAAAUAAUAUAUAAAAUAUAAAAUAAAAUAUAAAUUUAUUAUAUAAAAAUAAAAAAAUUAAAUUUUUGAAUGAAACAUAAUCAAACUUAUGAGAUAUGCUAAUUAAUUAAUAAGAGAUAUAUUGGUAAAUAUGUAUAUAGGAAAAGGAUAUUUUAAUCUUCAAAAAAAUAAUUUUCUGCUUCUGCUUUUUUUAAGAACCAGAAAUUUUUAGCUUCUUACCAACAACAGAAAAGCAAUUUCUGCUUCUAUUUAAAAGCAAUUUUAAGGAUUCGCCAAACAAUUAAGUUUUUUUUUAAAAUAUUUUUUUUCUCAAAAAACAUUUUUGACCUCCCAACAACAAUGUCAAACAGGCUCUAAAACACUUAUGAGAUGCAUGAUACUUACAAAGCAAAAACUUUACCAUCCUAGGUAAAAUGGUAAAUGACAUUUAUUUCACAAAAAGCAUAAAAGUCGAUCCAUUAGGUAUUAACACUCAACUCCACUCAUUUUACUUUGUUUUUCUUGAUUCAAUAUGAUAUGAAAUUUAAGAAAAAAAAUAAUUUAUUAUCUUAAAUUAAAGGUGUAUAAUGAACCAAAAUAUUUUUUGAGUCUUGUGAUCUUAAGAUAUAUGUCCUCCGUGUAUACUGAAUAUAAAAAGUUAUUCCUCCAUUCCGACGUAAAGUCAUUUGACUGGACAAAAUUAAAGAAAGAGAAGAUUUUGUCCUUCAAAGUCGGACCUUUCUGGUAUGCAUGAGUCUUUUUUCGAUCGACAAAAUGGUGAUAAAAAUUUGAGAACAAUCAAUCUCUCCAUUAAGGCUAGUAAAAUUUGUGAUCUAAUAUUAUCCUAAGAUAAUUAUAUGGUUAUAAAUCAUUAUUGAUAAAGUGAAAAAGGAAAAUUUUAAAGUUACAUUAUUUAUAGUUUAUAAUUUAAAUAUAAAAAGUGAUGUUCUUUUUUAAAUAGAUUUAAAAAAAAUCUAAAUAUAAAACGUGAUAUUACUCAAUCAUAUUUUAUUUUUAUUUUUACCCCAGAGGAAGAAAAAGAAGCAGCAGAGCAGGAGCAACAGAGCAAGCCUAAAAUUCGUCAACACUGACAUUUUAAAUGUCGUCACUACGAGCAGCUACCAGAUUUCCAUUCCUACUUGUUUGCAACGAAAGAACAAGUAAUUGAGGUGGUUUAGCAUAAAAUCAACGGAGAAUGAAGCAAUAUGUCCUUGAACUGUGAAAUUUGGUACUAUAAUAUUGUUCUCCAUUCACCUAUUGAGUCAAAACUCUAACGUUAACGUUUUGACUCAAGAUUGGCUUUUAAGAAUAACGGGCACACACCCAAUUGAAAUUAUUUAAAAGGUGUUGGAUCUCAUAGUAAUUUUAAAAAAUAAAAUAAAAUCAAUGAUCUCUUUUUCUCUUUCUUCUGGUCUUUUAAGGAUUUGAGCUCAUAAUGACAAAUAUUUAUUAUUUACUUAUAUGCUUCGUGUUAACAACAAUAUUGCCUCGGUUUUAAAAUGGAAGCUAGUGCUGACAAUACUCUCUAUAAACUACCACUAGUAUAUUAUGACACUACAGCUACUCUCAGCUGAUACAUUAUACAUAACAGCAAAGUCCAAGAAUGAGUAGCACAAAAGAUUUCAUAGAUUCAGAUUCUUACAGGUCAACUCCAUGAUUUGGAUGAGCUUGGAGUUAUUGUUCCUUUUGAGCAUGUUUAUAGGUAAGGUUCUCUUUUCUUUUCUUCUGAGAACCAUGGAAUUGUAGCAACAGUGAGUUGCUGACGACAAAUAUUGAGCUCAUAGCCAUUAACCCUCCUGUCAGGAAAAAAGAAAAGCAACAGCUGUUAAUUCUCUUUCACAAUUUGAAAUCGCUUCUUUUAGGUUGAAUUUUCUCCAAAAUCACCAAUAGAUGAAUAAAGAAACCACGGUGGAAAACCCUCUAAGAAAAAUCUAUAUAUUGGCCAUAUUUUCCAGAAGAUUGUCAACAAGAUGCCAGAUAAGUGAUGAUAGGCAACAAGAAGUAUCUUAAUUCAUUUGGGUCGAGAGGCAGAACAAGUAGUAUGGGUGUUAUUUACCAGAAAGAGAUGGUGUCAUUGCAAAAUCAAAAUUUGGAAGUAGCACUCCAGCUGCAAUGGGUAUCGCAACCACAUUAUAUGCAACCGCCCAAGACAAAUUUUGAUGAACUUUUGCCAUUGUUGCCUGUGCAAGAUCAAG
rnacentral:lncRNA from 1 species